rnacentral:lncRNA from 1 species
UUUUUUUUUUUUUUUUUUUUUUAAUACCAUUACAACUUUCUGUUGAUCGAAAUUUUGGUUAUGAUAUUUCAUAUUUGUGGUUAAAGAAAUUAACAUUUUUUUUUGUUUUGGAUUUUAGUAUACGGUUUUCUUCUGAAACAAGAUGUUUUGNNNNNNNNNNNNNNNNNNNNCCCGAAAGCCACAAGUUUUUUUUUUCUCGAAUGAAAUCGACGGCUGCUCGUCAUUUUCCUCGUUGGCCCCAUCUGAGAUCCGACAGUGGUAAUUGACCUGAUGACCCUUCUUACCCAACCGAUUCGUUUCCCACGCUUUCAGCAACUCCAAACGACGUCGUUCCGUUGUAACCAGACACAGGUCAUACAAUGAACAAUUAGUCUUUGGUUAAUGACGAAUUUAGUCCUUAAUUAAAAGAAAAAUAUCGAGAUUAAAGGAAAACAUUGGGUUAUGAACUUAUGAAGAAACACGUGUACAAAACCUAGACGCAAAAGGGGUCUCGUAAAAGGGAGUUUGUGAUUGCCUAAAAGAGGAACACCUCGGAAGGAAUAUACCGGCAGCAUAUUUGGUUCCAUUUGAGACUUCAUUUCACUAUAAAAAUCCAUCUUCUUCCCUCCUUUCUCUCCUCAACCAAAACACCCAACUCUCUCUCUCUCUCNNNNNNNNNNNNNNNNNNNNCUCUCUCUCUCUCUCUCUCUCUCUCUCUCUCUCUCUCUCCUUCUUGCUUUUGCACCAAGCUAGGCUCAAACAAGGUUAGUGUUUUGUGAUUAAGGUUCUCUAAUCAUGCGUGUUUAUCUCUCAUUGUUGCUAAUUGCUCUUUGUAUGAUGUAAAUUUGUAUUUGUCUCUUGGUUUGUGUACUCUCUCAUGCAUGCAUUGGAAAGGAUAAAGUGCAAAAGUGCAAAUGGGGUGUUCUGCUUGUGACUUUUCAGUGGGAACAAAACAAUUUAAAGCUUUUUCUUCUACAAGGGUCUUAUGAUUAGCUUCCAUAUCUGAAUUUGGCUUUGUGAUUUAUCCUUAAAGCACCCUUCUUUUCCUUUCUUUCACUGUGAACAUUUCUGGGUUUUGAGGAAAGCUGAGAAAACCCUUCUGGGGAUUGGAUUAGAUGAACAUAAUUUGAUUUGGGAUUGGAAUUUUCUUUUUUUGCUAAUUUAGGUAAAAAUGUUUUAUUUUUUAAUUUUUUUAUCCCUGAUUUUGAGAUCCUGAUCGCAUGGUUUAAUUAGGUGUUAAAAUAUAUUGCAUUCAAUGAAAUAUAAUUAUAUUACUUAAUGAUUUGAAGCGGUUUCAAAAAUAGCAUUAUCUUCUACAUCUGUACACAGCAAAGAUUUGAUAUUUGAUUCAAGCCAACUAAAGUAGUAUUUUGAUUUAAACCCUGAAUUUAAGCUCGAGAAAUCCGGUGCUUGUUUUUUUGGUGGGAAAGAUAUCUGGUUCAACUAACCAGGAAACAUUUUCUUUGCCCAGAACACUCUCUGAAGUUAAUAAUUUGCAAAUCUUAUCUUGGAAGUUCUUAGACCUACAUAAUUAUUAUACGCGUAUUAUUUUGAUUUUCAUCUAUGUUCUCUGUUGGGGUUGUGGCUUUCAAAUCCUUUCUGCCAAAAGUUCAUCUUUCUCUGUAAGACAGUAGAGGCUGUAAAUUUUGUGUCUUUGAGAAGUUUUUCCAGUAAAGGUAAGAGCUUUCUGGUUCAUAUUUUGAUUUGAAUAAAUCAAAUCUGUCUUUGUUAUAAACUUAGAAGGAUCCUCCAUCAAUGGUAUCUGUUUUGUCUGGAUGUGUGGGGUAGUAGCUGGCAUGUGAUUGUCAUUGUUCAUUGUAUUUUUCUUUUUUUCUUUUCCUGUAGUUAUGGAGGUUUUUUUUUUCCUUUUCAUCUUUCAGAAAAUUAUUUCACCUUUCUUCUUCCUCUGUUGGCCUAGAAAACAGAUUUUUGUUCAUUCUGUUGUUUGUUCUUGAAGCUGUUAUUCUAUUGUCCAAAAAACCACGUAAAUUGUUUUUUUUUGUUGAUUAGUUGGUCCUACUGUUAUCUUGAUUUGCCAAAAUCUCCCUCAAAUGUUGAAAAUUCAGUCUUCUAUUCAAUUCAUUUGAAAAUUGUUUAUGGUUGAUCUGGUGGUCCCGGAAUUAUAGGUGAGACUUGAAAUUUUUUUUCUCGCAUGGCCAAUUAUAGAGGAUCAACUGCCUCAUAGUCCAGAGUUCACACCUCCUGUCACAUAUGAAGUCAAGUUUGUAGAGCCCUUCGGUUUUUUUAUGCACAAUUCCUUCUUCUUGCUAUGUUGAAUUCGUUUUGUUGAAUAUUGACUCAUUAAUACUGUAGUAAUAUACUCAUUUCUAAAUGUAUUUGUACACGCGCUUAUUCUUGUCAUUUUGUUCAUGUUCUUAUUCUUGUUCUGUUCAUAAUUUGCAGAUUGAAAAAGCGUUUGUGUGGAGCUGAGAUCAGAGAAAGGAGAAGUUGCGAGCUACCUAAGCCAUGGCUAGAGAACAAUUACAGGUGCUUAACGCACUAGAUGUUGCGAAGACACAAUGGUACCAUUUCACUGCAAUUAUCAUUGCUGGAAUGGGAUUCUUCACAGAUGCAUAUGAUCUCUUCUGUGUGUCUCUUGUCACCAAAUUGCUGGGCCGCAUAUACUACCAUGUUGAAGGUGCUGAAAAACCUGGGACAUUGCCUCCCAAUGUCUCUGCUGCGGUGAAUGGUGUAGCCUUCUGUGGUACAUUAGCCGGCCAACUCUUCUUUGGCUGGCUUGGUGACAAAAUGGGAAGGAAGAAAGUGUAUGGCAUGACCCUUAUGCUCAUGGUCCUAUGUUCUAUUGCUUCAGGUCUCUCUUUUGGGCACGACCCCAAGACUGUGAUGUCUACUCUUUGCUUUUUCCGGUUCUGGCUUGGUUUCGGUAUUGGUGGUGACUACCCUCUUUCAGCUACCAUCAUGUCUGAGUAUGCUAACAAGAAGACUCGCGGUGCCUUCAUUGCUGCCGUGUUUGCCAUGCAAGGGUUUGGAAUUUUGGCCGGUGGGAUAUUUGCAAUCAUUUCUUCAGCUGCGUUUAAAGCCAAGUUUGAUGCUCCCGCAUAUGAGGUCGCUGGAGCUGCCUCAACUGUUCCACAAGCAGACUAUCUCUGGCGCAUUAUAGUUAUGGUAGGAGCAAUUCCAGCAUUAAUGACUUACUACUGGCGAAUGAAGAUGCCUGAGACUGCUCGUUACACUGCCCUUGUUGCCAAGAAUGCAAAGCAGGCUGCAGCAGACAUGUCAAAGGUUCUGCAGGUUGAGAUUGAAGCUGAAACCAAGCCUGAGGAGAAGUCGGCUAAUGCCUUUGCUUUGUUUUCCAAGGAGUUUAUGCGCCGCCAUGGACUUCACUUGCUUGGAACAACAAGCACUUGGUUCCUUCUUGACAUAGCGUUCUACAGCCAAAAUCUGUUCCAAAAGGAUAUCUUUAGUGCGAUUGGAUGGAUUCCUGCGGCUAAGUCUAUGAAUGCUAUUGAGGAGGUUUACAAAAUUGCAAGGGCACAGACACUUAUUGCUAUGUGCAGUACUGUCCCAGGCUACUGGUUUACGGUUGCCCUUAUCGACAGAAUUGGAAGGUUUGCGAUUCAAAUGAUGGGAUUCUUCUUCAUGACAGUGUUCAUGUUUGCACUGGCCAUUCCCUAUGACCACUGGACUCACAAGGAUAACCGGAUUGGAUUUGUGGUCAUGUACUCAUUGACCUUCUUCUUCGCAAACUUUGGUCCCAAUGCCACCACAUUUGUUGUGCCGGCUGAGAUUUUCCCUGCUAGGUUCCGGUCUACAUGUCACGGAAUCUCAGCAGCAUCAGGGAAGCUUGGUGCUAUAAUUGGUGCAUUUGGAUUCUUGUAUUUGGCUCAGAACCAGGACAAGACCAAGACUGAUGCAGGGUACCCUGCAGGCAUUGGGGUCAAAAACUCGCUCAUUGUGUUGGGUGUUGUUAACUUUUUGGGGAUAUUGUUCACUUUCUUGGUGCCCGAAUCGAAUGGUAAGUCAUUGGAGGAGAUGUCAGGCGAGAAUGAAGAGGAACCUGAAUCUGCAGUGGAGUUGGAGCAGCAAUCAGGUUAUGGCAAUAGCAGGACAGUGCCAGUUUAGGUUAAGUAACUUUUUAAGAAAGUGUUAGAAAAAUAAUGCUGUAAGACUUUAGUUAAUAUCGGUGAGGGGGAAGCUUUAAUUUUCAAUCUUUUUAAGUUCUAUCUCCAUGUCUAUCAUGAGCCAAAUAUCACAUAGAAGUUUCUGGUUGUUCAUUUUUCUUCUUCUGUGAGUAUCUACAAGUCUAUAAUCGAUCGAUUGUGGUUGUUACUUCCUAGUUCCUAAUAUCUUACGCUUCUCUGUGUGAAUUCAAUUCAUGGUUUUGCAAAUGUUUUCUACAAAUCUGACUUCUGGUUUUGGAACAAGUUCACUUUCUCCUUUUCUUCUUUUAUUCUAAUAAGUUUUAGUUGGACUGUCGUUGCAAAGUUUCACAAUUUCACUGAAACCAAAUAGAAUGGAAUCUCACAGAGAAUAAGCUAAGAAUGUUGUAAAGGAGGUUACUUCUAAAACUGUGUAAUCCAUUUGUGUAUCCGUGAAGGAAUAGAUCAUGGCUAGUUCUAGUUAUGUUCAUUUGUGUCUCCAUCAAGGGCCAUUGAGAUUAUUAUACAGAACUCCUAGCUAGUCUGUUCCAAAGAAUCUUCUAUUUGUAGUGCUGCAUGUGUCAACUUUUUCGACGGGCGAAAAGAGUAAAAUGUUUCUCAAACAUACAAUGUAAUUCUUAUAGGAACGCAAUUUUAUUGUCACGAUAACGAUAAGAAAGAUGUAUUCAACCAACCUUAGCUAGCUAUCUAUAAUUAUUCCAAAAGAGUAGAAAUUCGAAGUUUUGUUCUUAUCCUAAAUUAGGGAUAAAUAUAUCAAAUUCUCAGUGCAUUGAAUUUGUAUCAAAAAUGCAGAUAAUAAUUGUAACAAUUGCGAAAAUUAUCUAAAUCAGCAUUGAGGUGUACUCCUCCCUUCCUCCGUACAAAUUCACCAGAGCCAGCUACAAGUUAGCAUUUACAAUUCUAUACCCUCAGAUAUUCUUUGCGUUAUUAUAGCACAAAUAUUCUGAAAGUUAGUUAAAUAUACUACCAAAUCAAUUUUACUCAUACAUGGAAUUUCUUGUGGUGGUAAAAUAUGGAAGGAAAGCUGUAGUAGUGGUUUAUUGGUUACUACUAGCUGCUACGAUUUGGGCAUGCGAAUAUGCUAGUGAACAUCUCACUGAAAUUUCUAAAACAGAAAUGGUUUACUGAGAAACAAUGCCUAGCUAAGCGCAAAUGUAGAUAGGAAUAUACUGUUGAUCGGUUAUAAUAUUCCGGUAAAGACUCCCAUAUAUAUUGUCAAUCCCACACACUCAUCCUUAAACCCUCAUACACUGAUCUCUAUCCUUAUAUCUCACUGAUCUAGCUCUCUCCUCAUAUCUCACUGAUCUCUCUCCUCACAUCCAGGUUAGAAUCAUACACUUAUGUUCUUGUUCAUUAAUUAAAUCUAAUAAUUCACGUUGGCUUUUCUACUCUCUCUAUUGUUUGAAUGUGAUUUGAUUAAUUUUGGUAUGUAUAUAACUAUUGUAUAUAUAAUGUAUGUGUGAUCUAACCAGUUGUGUUCAUUUUGGACAGAGUAGAAGAGAUCCGACAGAGAAAGGUAGACAUGGCUAAGUCACAAUUGGAGGUGCUUAAUGCUCUUGACACUGCAAAAACACAAUGGUAUCAUUUCACUGCAAUCAUCAUUGCCGGAAUGGGGUUCUUUACCGAUGCAUAUGAUCUCUUCUGCAUUUCCCUUGUGACCAAAUUGCUUGGCCGCAUAUACUACCAUGUUGAUGGUGCAGCCAAGCCUGGAACGUUGCCUCCGAAUGUGUCUGCUGCUGUCAAUGGUGUUGCAUUAUGUGGAACCUUGUCAGGGCAAGUCUUUUUUGGCUGGCUCGGUGACAAAUUGGGUCGAAAGAAGGUGUAUGGCAUAACUCUGAUGCUCAUGAUCGUUUGCUCCAUUUGUUCAGGUCUCUCCUUUAGCCAUGACCCCAAAGCUGUGAUUUCAACCCUAUGCUUCUUCCGGUUCUGGCUAGGAUUUGGUAUUGGUGGUGACUACCCUCUUUCGGCCACCAUUAUGUCUGAAUAUGCCAACAAGAAGACUCGUGGUGGCUUCAUCGCCGCGGUCUUUGCCAUGCAAGGUUUCGGAAUUUUAGCAGGAGGCCUGUUCGCAAUGCUUACGGCUGCCAUAUUUGACGCCACGUUCAAGGCUCCAGCUUAUGAAGUUGACCCAAUUGGUUCCACUGUCCCACAAGCAGACUACCUAUGGAGAAUUGUUCUGAUAAUUGGUGCAUUUCCGGCUGCACUAACCUACUACUGGCGAUUGAAGAUGCCUGAAACUGCUCGCUACACAGCCCUCGUUGCCAACAAUGUUUCCCAGGCAGCAGCUGAUAUGUCAAAAGUUAUGCAGGUUGACAUUGAAUCUGAUCCGGCCAGGGCUCAACCCACCGUCACUUACGGUUUGUUCUCUAAGGAAUUCCUGGACCGCCAUGGACUUCACUUGUUCGGUACCACAAGCACAUGGUUCUUGCUUGACAUUGCAUUUUACAGUCAAAAUCUGUUCCAGAAGGACAUUUUCAGUGCCGUUGGAUGGAUUCCUCAUGCCGCCACUAUGAAUGCCAUUGCAGAGGUUUAUAAAAUUGCAAGGGCUCAAACUCUCAUUGCUCUGUGCAGUACUGUGCCUGGUUACUGGUUCACUGUGUUCUUCAUCGACAGAAUCGGAAGAUUCAAAAUCCAAAUGAUUGGAUUCUUCUUCAUGACAGUGUUCAUGUUUGCACUGGCAUUUCCAUACAAUUAUUGGACACAAAAGGAUAAUGUGAUCUGGUUCGUGAUACUGUAUGCACUGACUUUUUUCUUUGCCAAUUUCGGACCUAAUGCUACAACAUUUGUGGUACCGGCUGAGAUUUUCCCAGCUCGACUGAGGUCUACUUGCCAUGGCAUAUCCGCAGCACUUGGAAAGUUGGGGGCAAUAAUAGGUGCCUUUGGGUUUCUGUAUUUGGCUCAACCUCAGGACAAGAGUAAAGCAGAAGCAGGGUUCCCGGCCGGUAUAGGCGUCAAAAAUUCACUCAUUGUUUUGGGUGUGGUCAACUUCUUGGGUAUGCUAUGCACAUUCGCUGUUCCUGAAACGAAUGGGAAGUCUUUGGAGGAAAUGUCAGGUGAGGCUGAAGAAAGAAAUUAGAGAAGUGGAAGCGUAUGAGCUGCUGAGAGAUCUGAGUUUCUGUUAUUCUUCUGAGUCGUAGUAGGAUUUUAGUUAUUGUUGUCAUUCCUCUUCACUUUAGUCUUUUCUUUUGUUAUUGUCUUUUGAGUAGUGGUAGGAUUCUUUGAUUAAUGAUUUGUUAUCAAUCGAAGGUAGCAAAGUACCGGUUUAUUUUAGUAACUUCUUCUCUAUUAGAAAAUCUCUCCUUAACCCUAUUAUCAUUUGCAUCACUAUUUUACUCCUUAUGAAAUCAAAUUGCUCUAUAUAUCAAUAGAAUUUAACAAGAACGGGAUAAAAGGAUAUGGGUUGCAGACUUGCAGUUCUGCUCCCCAAAUAUAAUAGAUGCAAUUAGCAAAGAAACUUAUAUAGGAACACAUUUGAGGUUCACAACAUUACCAGAUGACAAAUUCAUUUCCAUCUAGGAAGUAAGCUUACUGUUAGGAAACUGAAUUCCACAACAAACAGAUAACAUCAGACCAUACUUUUCAUAGCAGAUAUGCUUGUUUAUUUGGUGAAAGAGUAGUAGUCUUGUGUCAGUAAUGGAUUCUGCAAAUGAUGAUGCAAGGAGAACAAGCUUACAGAAUCGAGGAGAUUUUGACUGACCAAGGGAGAUACAUAUGUUUUAGAACAGACACUGUUCAGUGCGCCCGCUCUUUGAUCACCUCAAGAUCCAUCUCUGUUGGGUCAGUAGCCUGAAUCUCGUAGUGAAUACCAUCCAGCUCCCGCCUGAAUUGGUCUUUUGAUGUGGCAUAGAGCAUCUUGGCACGGAUCCGAGAGGUUGAAGGGGACCUGAUCAUAAUUAUGCAUCAGUCAUCACCAAUACAGAAUAGAACAAGUAUAUGAAAUACAAGAUUUACAAAAUACAAGAUAUUAAAACAAAUCGAAAUGAGCGUAUGUAUGGGUAAUGCAGUUAAGCAUGAUAAACAAAUUGAGAAAGUUGCUUGGUAGUUUAGCAACUUGCUUUGCAAGACAAGUUUCACCGAACAAUAUAUCAAAUCAGGACCAAACUUUGCACCACACCAUUCUGCGUCAUUUUUCUUAUAUAAGAACUUCUCGAACAUGAAUAAAUAUGGUUAUAUUAUCUAUGCCAACUCUGAAUGACUAAGAAAUUGGGAUCAAAAUUCAGACUUAUCAAACGAAAACGGUUUUAAACAAAAGAUAGCUGAGGUUUUCAAUAAAAUUGGUAACAAGCAUCACAGUUGAUAUAUAACUAGAGAGGGGAUUAUAUAGCCAAAAACUAACCAAGCAAUGAAGAAGAUCUUGCUCUUUUGACAGUUAUCAGAAGUAACAAAAUCAAAGUCAUAUACAGCAAAUCGGCAAUCAUUCUCAGGCAAAGCCGCCACGAAAUCUUCAUAACUCUCAGCCGGACCACCAAUCUUCUCAACCACAACCUCCCUUUUCUUCUCAUCCACCUUAAAUAUCACAUAGCGGUGAACCUUCUUCCUCUGCAGCUCCAUGAAACUGUUCUUGCUGUCCUCCGCCGCAGCCAUCGCACACGAAGCAUUCGGCUGCAAAACAAAACCACCCAAUUCUUUACCAUCUAAACCCAAUUCCGCCACACAACUCAUAAAGUUUCAAUCUUCAAUCUCAGCUCAAACAACAAAGCUUCAAUUUUUAUUCAAGAAGAAUAAUUAAAAAAAAAAAAAAAAAAAAAAAACUCAGCUGGGUUUUGUAACUUGAAACCCAAAUACAUCAAACAAUCCAAGAGGAGAAGCAAAUCAUCACAUACCCGACUGAGCCCUCUGAAAGACAUUGACAUUGCUUCUGGAACCAAACAGAGCUUUGGUGCUAGUUGAAAAACAGAGCAAUGGAUUAGGAUGGUAUAUGGGUUUUGCACGGAAUAGCAAAAGAUAUGGGAAUGGGGAAAGAAAAGCAAGAAUAUAAUGUAGUUGUUGUUUUUGUAUUUGUGAGGUCAGAAAGAGAUUCGGAUUGUAAAAAGGAGAGGAGAAGAGAAAGGGCGCAGUGUGUGUGUGUGUUUGGGUACAGCUCCGACGGUGCGUAGGACUAACGCUCCCUUUUUCAAACCCCCGACGUUGACUCUGGACCGGAUUUCUGUGUCGUCAGAGUGACGUCGGCGUCCGCGUUAUCUGUUCGCCACGUACCUCUUGCAACGACACGUCGUUUUUUUGUGUGUCUUUUAAUUGUUUGAUAAUGGAGUUUUGAUUUCGAUUGAAAAUUGAGUGCCCUAGUUAGGGUUUUGUUUUUUGGCCGAAUUUGGGGCUUUGUUCUGGGUUCUGCUCAUUUGGGGAUUUUGGGGCAGCUGUUGAUCAAUUCGUGUGUGAAAAUGGAUUCGGAAGGUACGUGCUUUUCAAGAGGCUAAAGGCAAAAAUUGGAUCUUGAAUUUGUGUUAUUUUUUGUGAAUUAAAGGUUUGAUCUUUGUGGUUUUGUUGUAUAAUUUGGCAGCGCAAAACGCGUCGUUGAAUCCAUCGCAAGUGCUUGCUCAACUCCUCACUAAGAGAACCAAGCUUCAAGACGAACUCAGAGGAAUUGAGAAACAGGUUUUUUUAUUUUUUAUUUUUAUUUGAGGGAUGGGAUGAUGUUGCAUUUUGGUUUCUGGGUUGAUUAGUCCUUUCACUCACCAUUUAUAGCUCAAUUGGUUUUUUUUUGUUAAGACCAAGUUAGUUUUUCUUUGGAAGAAUUAGACUUAAAGGCAUGUGAGUUUUGUGCAUAAAUGCUGUUAGUGACUCUUUAACAUAAAGCUUUUACAAAAAGAUGCCUGAUAGAUUGGAAUUGAAAUGCAGAGGGAGCCAUGGAUGAGAACAUUCUUUUAUCUCUUACUGAAGUUUCAGCUGAGCUGCAUUACUAGUAGUCUAGUCUCUGCUUCUGGAACUUACUGCUUUGUUUCACUGCAGGUCUACGAUCUAGAGACUACGUAUCUGCAGGAUCCGAGUCAAUGUGGCAAUGUAUUAAAAGGGUUUGAAGGGUUUCUGUCUUCAACAAAGAGCACUUCCUUGUAAGCAUUCACUUUUUCUUUUCAUUCUUAUCCUCAUCAGAUUACGUUACUUCAUUAGCCUUUAUGUGUAGGACUUUUGUAUCCUAUUAAUGGAUGGUUUCUAAGGUUGGCGUAGUUGAACCACUUUUUAACUACUCUGGGGCUGUUUUGUCUGACCGAAUAUACUGUUCUGUUCUGAUUUGCGUUGAAGACUUUUCAUUGUUGCAAGACAUCGCUUGCUUAACUUGAAUCGGUUUAAUUUUGUCAUGUUACACAACAAGGUCGUUUCAUUCACUGAACAAUUCUGCACCUAUAGCCAUCAUUAUUAGGUAUUAGCUCACCUACCCAUUCCCAUUAGCUUGAACAACCGAUAGCCACGGCAAAGGAUCUAUCAUCUAUGAUUGCUACAAGGCACUGAUCCAUGUAAGUGGGAUCCCUGUGCUGUAGCCAACCCACAAUUCUCCUAACCUGAUAUAUAGUAUGGAAGUAUUCUGUUUGUAGUGAUAUUAGCUUUGGCUCAGUUGGUAAAGCAACUGAGUCGCUUUCCACCUAUCCAAGGAUUGAAAAACCCUUAAACUUGCUUGAUGUUAUGCAUUCCCCCCUUUUUCUUCUUCCAUUCUUUUAUUUCUUUGGUACAAGAAAGGGGGUUUGGGAAAAGUUAGUUUUUGAUUUAUAUCUAGGCAGGACUACUUUAGGUCAGAGUACUUCCAACUUGAAAAUAGAUGAUUGUUUCUCAUUCCCCUAAAGUUGUCUGAAUUUUUAAGGCUUAUACACAUUAAUUGUCCUCCAAAUAAUCUGUCAUUUUUCAUGUUAUCUUUUUGCAUUAAAAAAAAAAUCGACAUGUGAGGUACUGUAGUCUGUAUGUCAAAUCAGAUGGAAACAAAACUGACUGAGUCCUCUGAAAGACACUGCCAUUGUAGCCUCCAGAAAAGGAAACAGAAUUGGUGCUACUUGAAAACCCAGAGCAACAAGCUAGGUGGCGGUAGAUGGGUUUUGCACAGAAUAGCAAAAUAUGGUGGAUUAAGAUAUGGGAAUGGGAAUGCAGAAGAAAGGCAAGAAUAAUAUUCUUGUUCUUUUCUUUUUUGUGAGGUCAGAAAGAGAAAGAAGGGCAAAAUUUGGAUUGUAAAGGAGAGGAUUAGAGGGCAGUGUGUGCAUGCAACUCUUGUUACAGCUCCGAUGGUGUGUAGGAUUAACGCUCCUUUUCCCUUUUUAAAUUCAAACCGCACCGUUGACUCUGGGCUGGAUUUUGGUGUUGCCAGACGGGACCAUGAUGAUGUCGGCAUCCGUGCUAUCUGUUUGCCACGGCAAAUUAUCUAUGGUUUCUACAGAUUGAAUACAUAUUCGGGAACUUAUUAUUAUUUUUGUUUUCCUUAAGUAAUGCAUUAAUUGAUUAAUUCAUUGCAGUUUGGGAAUGCGAUUUCUAUAUAAAAUAUUAGUAGCUUUGGAAUAUGUAGUUUUAAUUUGUACCUAGACAGGACUCUACUUGGUAUCAGAGAUACACUUCCAACUUGAAUAUAGAUUGUUGUCACUCAUUUCCCCUAAAGUCGUCUGAACUUAAGGCUCGUACAGAAUAAAUUUCCUCCAAAUAAUCCGGUUUCUUUUUUCGUUUUUUAAGCAUAACUGUAAUCCAUAUGUAAAUCGAUGUAUUGUACAUCAUAUGCAUAUGUGUCUGCUGAAAGUUUCUGAUGUUCAACUAUAUGGUAUGCAUAUGUAUUAAUCCCAAGGCAGUUACUAAUACUUUGAUUGCAGCUUGAAGCGAUCUCGGAAGUUUCAACCUGAAGACAGGCUAUUCUCAUUAUCUUCCGUGACAUCACCAGCAGUAAGUAUUCUCAACCUUAACUGUCUUGAUCGUGGCCUUUCUGCCUUGACAUCUUUGGAAGCAAAACGUUUAAACACUUUGCUAAAGCUACCUCAAAGAUACUUGCUUUUGUAUGUUACAGACUUGCAGCCAGUUAGAUACUGAUAAAUAGUAUUUGCUCUCAUUCAUAGCAUAUGCUUCUGUUUAUUAUUAAUACUAAAUUUCUCUUUUUCCUCGUGUCAGGCGGAAGAACUUGCAGCUGGACGAGAUGGUAAGCCCAUACUAGCAUAUAUAUAGAAUUAUAGAUGAAAUGCCCAAUAUUUAUUUCAUCUCUCUUCGUAUUUACUGUAGAUGGGAGAUCAGACUUUGGUCCCGGCCGUUCUAAAGGGGGUAUAUACGCAAACGGGCAGUAAGUACUCCUCUAGUUUUCUCUUUACUCUAUUUGUUUAAUGUUAUGCAGAAAGGUUAUACGGCUUGUAUAAAAGAGGCUCAAAAAUAGCACAUUUCUGAGGGUUUACUCCAGGCGACACUUCUGAGUUUUAAAAAAUACCAAUGGCUUUGCAGAGGAAAACCGAAGAAAGGAAGACCUACUCCAAGAGAUGCAAAGAGAAUCAGGCAGAGUGAACAAGAUUAUGACUAUGAAGAUGAUCCUGAUAUGAUGUGACGGAGGAAAUGCCUGGUGACUUUUCCCUACAAGCUCUGCGUGAGCAGCUAGUUAGCUAGAGUCUUGAACAGAGAUAUAGCUUUUGUUUUGAAGUUCUGUUGAGGCAAAACUUCUCACUAAGGCAGGCAUAGCCUCCUCUUCACUUCUGUAAUCUAACCCUCUGUCAGGUUGUAAAUUAUACCCUUUCUCCUCGGUUAGAAUUAGUUGCUUCUGCUCAACUUAUGUUCAAGAAUAGAUCUUUAAGCUCUGUAAGCACUUUGGAUCAUUGCCUUCCAUGGCUAUAAUAUCGUCUUUUGGAUACAGUGGUAUAAAAUCAUUCCGAACUGCCUAUAUGCACAAAUGGAAAUGAACAUCCUUCGAAAUUACAAAAUAAAAACAAAAUGACAUAAAAGCAAAAAACGGAACGACGUCGUGUUGAUUACCUUCUAUGUGAAACAGGGUCAAAUCUAGUACGACAUCGUUUUCUAUUGUUGCAUUUUGGUUCCAUAUUUCUCAACAGCGCAGGCUCCGAUUCUGCCGCCGAAUUUCUUAUCCUCUUCUUUGUUUGCUGUUUAUGUUCUCCAUGAACUUACUGGUAUGUUUGUAUCUACUUAUGUAAUCACUGUCUUUUCACACAAACACAUGUACGGGUUUCGCUCUCGUUUCCUACGUUGUUGUUUACUUGACUUAUAAUUUUGUUCAUAGGAGAAGAUCAAAUUGCAGAAGAAGGAGCCAGAUAAAGCGCCGCCGCCGCCUCCGCCGCCUGAGGUGCCCGUGUACUGGAUUGAAACCUCUGAAGCAGUCUCAUACCGCUGUGAAUUUGAACCCCAGGGUCAUCUCUCUGUAAGUUCAUUGUUCAUGACCAUAUAUCAAGUGUGUGUUCAUUUCUGGGUUUAAUAGCUUAAACCCCAAAGAUGGGUUUGCUUUAAAUUUGGCUUCUUUUUGAUUGGGUGAGUGUUUUGGGAUGUUGUAGUUUGAGGCCAGAGUGAGUUAGUGACUCAGUGUUAGGUGGCUGCUUUUGGUUUUAACUGAUGGUAAUGAAGACGUGUUCUUUCUUGUGUUUGAUUCUGUUUGGAAUUCAAAGAAUGGUGUUUAAAUUAGUUUAACAGGCUUAUAUGUCAGAAACAAUGGUAUAGUGUGGAAUGAAAAUGAGGAAGCCUUUGGUUCCUCAAGGUUUUAGAAUUCCUAUUGGAUGCUAUCAAAUGUGGGAAAUUUGGGGCUUGGUGGGAAUCCGAGUCUCUGGGGAUUAGAAAGCUGAUCUCUAGCUUUAUAUGUUAGGUUGAGGUUUGUUAUUACUUUGUUUGAAUUACUUUAACUGCAUUGGGUUUUCUGCAGGUUAAGAUUCUUGAUGACUCGAGGCCAGUAGUUCGUAGGGUUGCAGAUUCGUUUGUUAAUAAGUUUUUCCCUUCAGGAUAUCCAUACAGGUAACUUCAUGAUUUAUUCUUACUGAAAAGCCUGUUGAAACAAUUGUAUCAGUUAUUUAGCCUUUCAAGUCAUUCCUGUGCAGUGUCAAUGAGGGAUAUCUCAGGUACACACAGUUUCGGGCACUGCAACACUUCACCAGUGCAGCGCUGUCAGUGCUUUCAACUCAGGUUUUUUUUCUGACACCUGCAAAGCAUUUAUAGCAGUAUAAGCUAUUUAAUAGACUGAGCUCUUACUCCUUUGCAGUCACUCUUGUUUGCUGCAGGCUUGCGACCUACUCCUGCACAAGCAACUGUUGUUAGUUGGGUAAGUUGUCAAUGUUUGGUAAUUAUGAUAUCAGUUGCAACCAAAGCAUGACUGUUAAAUACUAUUUAUUCUCAAUAUGCAGGUCCUGAAGGAUGGGAUGCAGCACAUGGGUAAGCUCAUAUGUAGUAAUUUGGGUGCAAGAAUGGAUUCCGAGCCUAAGCGCUGGAGAAUUUUGGGUUUGUACUUUUCUCCAUCUUUUGUCAUACGUACUAUCUGCGUUCACUGUAAACUCUGUUAUAUUUUCUUGAUAAGUGCUGAAGUGGAUAUUGUGUUGGGAAGUGAUAUUUAAUGCUUUAGAAGCUGGUUCUAAUUGAAUCAAUCCUCUCAUCUUGCAGCUGACGUACUCUAUGACUUGGGCACUGGCUUAGAAGUUCUUUCUCCUUUAUGUCCACAACUUUUUCUUCAAGUUGCAGGCCUAGGCAAUUUUGCAAAGGUGUCAGUUUUCAUACAUAUGCAUGAGGGAACCUUAUAGGCAUUAGAUCCAUAUAUUUCCUUUAUUUUUUCAUGUUUAUUUAUGUGAAGUAGACAAACUUGCAUGGAAGUUAUUUUCUCUCUGUUGUAUAUCCUUUGCAUCAAAGAAUCGAAUCCCUUCUAGAAUUCUAAAAUAUCAUUGUAUAGAUUACUCAGUGUGGAAACUUGCUACCUUUGAAGUUAACAGGGGAUGGCAGUUGUUGCAGCAAGAGCAACGAGAUUACCAAUUUAUUCUUCCUUUGCCAAAGAAGGCAAUCUUAGUGACCUGUUUGCCAAAGGGGAGGCAAUCUCAACUGUGUUCAAUGUUCUUGGAAUAGGGUUAGGGAUCCAGUUAGCAUCUACUAUUUGUUCAUCAAUUCAAGGAAAGGUAUAUAAUAUAAUAUAAUUGUGCAGUUAAAUCUCUUUUGUAAUCUUAUCUGCAGCUUGAAUGCUACAAGAUUUAUAGAUAACAAAACGGAAUUUAUUUCACUGGGUUCUAAAGAAAAAGCUUAUAAUGAUCUGUAACUUGUCGCAGAUGGUUGUUGGGCCUCUUUUAUCAGUUGUACAUGUAUACUGUGUCAUUGAAGAAAUGCGGGCAACUCCUGUGAACACACUUAAUCCUCAGAGGACUGCAAUGCUUGUGGCUGAUUUCAUCAAGGUGUGUUCGACCUUUCUCUAUCUUGGGGUGUGUGUGUAUAUACCUCUAGAUUUCUCACUUUAACCUGCUUUUUUAAAUCCAUUUCUAGACAGGAAAAGUAUCAAGCCCAGCUGACCUGAGGUAUAAAGAAGAUCUUCUCUUUCCUGGGAGACUCAUAGAAGAUGCUGGCAAUGUAAAAGUGGGGAAGUCUUUCCGCAAGGUGUUUAAGCCUUCAAAACUUGAUGAAUUAAAACAAAUAUUCCCAGACGAGAAGUUUCUUCUUAAUCCUGGAAAGAAAUCAGUUGACAUGGUAUUGGAGCACAGUGCUACUGGUGAAGAUGCCUUGAGGGGGUGGCUUGUUGCCGGAUAUGCAGCUGACAUGGAGAAGUCUUUUCAUGUUCCAACUUCAACUGCACUCGAAGAGGCUUAUGAGAAGAUGAAUGAUGUAUUUGGUCCAUUUAUUUCUGAACUUCAGGCCAAGGGGUGGCACACUGAUCGUUUUCUCGAUGGAACAGGAAGUCGUUUUGCUUGGUAGUUAUGUAAGCGCUAUGAUUCUUCAAGAUAUAGAAUUUCAUUGAUACAGGUAGGAUAAAAAAACAGGAACUCGUAGGCAAUUGUUCAGAGAAUCAGAAGACUUCUGUAACUUGUGUCAUUUUGUACUUGAUCACCCAUUGGUUUCAGUUGCAUUUAGGGUUUAACCUAAAGAUUUUUAUGAUCAGCAUCCCAUUCUACAAAAUUCCAGUGAUUUAACUAAUAGAAAUCUUUGUCAUCAGUCACAUUUUCAAACAUAAGAUCAGUGAUUGGAGAACUCGAAUCUCAGAGAUUGUCAUGCUCCUAAAUAAAAAGUUUCAAGCUUUUUGUAAAUCAAAUGCGAGUUGAAGGCUGCAGCGGCAUGCUCUAAGUUUAUAUAAAUAAUACUAUCGCAGAAGAUAGCAAUCUUUUUUCAGGGCCCUGAAGAUGCUCGAUCACUUUGAUUAAACUAAAGCUAAAGCUCCUAAUUCUUCUUUAAAGGUGUUCUUGGUGUUGCACGACAGAUCAGCCGACGUCUAAUAUAGAAUGCCAUUGAAACUUUCAUAAAGGUAGCCUUUGAAAAGAAAACCAUGCCUCAAUUCUUUUGGAUCAUGUUUUGAACAAGGACUCCAAUUGAACAGUACUAGCUACUAAGCAGAUUCGCUUUGGCUGCUUUGAUGGAUAUAUCCACCACCGCUUGAUUUUCAAAUUGAAGGAUUGUUAUCUUCGGUUUCGAGUACUAACAAGCUCAGUGACAGUCAACUAAUCCCACUUCGGUGAAGACUAAGGAAGCCAGAAAGUAUAAAUUAUAGAAAUGGGAGAGUCUUGAAUUAGAAAACACUGUUUUUCGAAGCUACAAUAUAUAUGUAAUAGUACAACUUUACAAGAGUAUAGACAACUUGACUAUGUAAUAAACUACAAUUCUACAAAUAGAGGAUACACCAUUGAAAGCAAUGAAGAGAGUAUUUGUUGAGUCGAAGUGACUUGUCUCUAAAAUGGAUCUUUGUAUACCAUCAGUAACUAGCUAGCUUGUUGAGUUGAAGUAAGAAUGUGCAUUAGCAAAAUAUUUGUUGUACAGAAGUGUUGAAAGAUUAUUCAGACUUUUCUCACUACAUUUUUUCCAAAUUAUGUCAGCCGAAUCAAUCAAUCAACCAUGAAACGAAAACAAUAGACAAGUUCUUGCCCAUCUCAGUAAACAUUUCAAAGUGGCACUCAAAACCUACACGCCACCAACUUAAUUUCUAAAUUAACUGUGAUGUUUAUUUUUCUCAAUUGCAGUAUUCCUCUAUGUUCAAAGUUUGAAUCUCUCAUUCAAAAAAAAUUUAAUACAAGGAAACAGGAAAAAGAAAAUCACAAGUAGCUAGCGUUUCUUCAUGCAUCAAAUAUUGUCUCUCGGUAUUGGUCGAUAAUCGAUAUAUAGUUGAAGUUGUCCAUUCCUAAACACACGUGCAAGUGUCAAAUUGAAAUAAGGUCUUCGAUUUAUGUAUCCAAAAAGAAUCUGUCAAAGAGAGCAGGUAAGCAGAAUUUAGAACAACAGAACAUACUAUCAGUUCUGGGAAUGAGUUGGUUGACGAUCAUGACUUUCCUCUUUCGUUCAGAAUAGUACUCCUUCACUUUGGAUAAUCUAUUUUCUCUCUCUCUCUCUCUCUCUCUCGGUGAGAAAAGUUCAAAAGUUAAUUUAUAGUUUCUGUACGUUGAACACCAGACUGGUAGAGCUAGUCAUGAAGUAUAUUCAUAUAUCACAAUUGACUAGCUAGCUUUGAUUUGAGAGGGCGGUGCAUGUCUUAAAACUACUUUAUGAUUUCAAUUAUUAGUUAGGAUCAUAUGGUCUGUAAAUUCAAAAGCUAGGUAUAAAUUAAGAAAGUGAUGACAUAUAGUGAGAGCUCAUCAAGAUUUUGGCUAUAUAUAUCUGAUAUGUUUAAUCAAAUGAUUCUUGGACACAAGAUUAGAUUUAGGUCUUAAUACAUUUAACCAGGAGGAGAAACUAGACAAAGUUUCAACACACAUGCAAUCUUAUUAUAAUGGUGCUCGUGAUGAGGAUAUUUUAUACGACUGAUCUAUAUCGAAGAAGAAUAUAUAUGAGAGUUUGAAACUGGCUGGCUACUUUAUUAUUCCUUCAGAUUCGACCUAAAGUUAAUUUAUCUGUGGAAGAUUGCUAUGCUCGAGUUGAUUAAUCUACUUAAACUAAUCAUAUCAUUCCUACCUAACUUAUGGAAGAGGCAGAAAUUAAGAUAAUAAUCGAUCAUAGAAAUUGAAAGAGUGGAGAAAUAUUCAUCCACCUCCUCCUUGAAUUCAGAAUUAUCAGCAUCCAAUGAGGUACUUAAUUCGGAUGCAUGGAAUUAAUGCUUUAAUUUGGAUUAUGUAAUGAUGGUUGAUAUAUAGUACCCUGGUCUUCAUAUUCAAUCGGGUGUGAUCAACAUGGUAAAUGGUAAUUAAACUACUAAUAAUAUAAAGGGGGGUGUGUGUGUGUGUAUAUAUAUAUAUAUAUAUAUAUUUGUUUGAUCCAUGCCAAUCGUAGCUUGAUCUAAUUAUACAUCAUUGUUAGCUUGAUUAUCAAAACUUAUGAUUUUAUGAAUGACCUAAUAACUUGAUAAGACAUAUUCAAAUACAGUAUUAUAGAGGUUCAGACUGAUCGAGUUUAUAUGCCAAAAACUACAUCCUAUGUAUAUUUUAAAAUUUACAGAUUAAACGAUUUUAGUAUAAUUAGAUGAUAUCAGAACCAAGAAAGACAUGAAUUCUACAACUCUGUUUGAGUUUUUUGGAAGACUGAAUCACAAUACUUUCGCAAUGUUGUUUCUGUAAGAGCGAGGAAGAGAAAUUUAUUAACAAAAGUUGGUGCAACUUAUUUGAAGGUGUUUGUGACAUCACUGCAUGAGUAAGUAAUAACCAGGCUAUAUAUGAUCGAUCGGGCUUGCUUUCCGGCCAUAUAUUCGAUGUACAUAAUGCUAAUUUGACUAAUUGAUAUAUCAUCAGCUCCACUACUACUCAAACAUAGUUAUCAUCAGCUACCACUACUACUACUUAAUGUAGUCCAAGUUGACGGAGAAACGCACACUAGCUAAAUUACUUCUCGCCUGGUUAAUAAUAUUUAGUUUAGUUCAACUUGGUGAUCGAUCCCAUCAUGAAAUUUCUGGCUGGUAAUUGUCAUAUUCGGGCAUUGGUCCCACGUUCAAAGUCGGCAUUAGGGUUUGAAAAUCAUGCGCAUAAGAUACAACUUAAAUCCAACCUAGGUAGUAAAAUAUGAAGCUAGAUGCAUGUAAAGUAAUAUUUCCCCGUUGUUUAAUCUAUCGGUGGCUUUUUUUUUGACAUGCUAGUAAGUUUUCUAUGUAUAUUAUUGUUUUCAUUCAUAAUAGAAAUUUCAGUACUCUGGAUUUAUGACAAUUUUUGAAGAAAAUUUUAAGUAUUGGUUCAAAUUCUAAUAUUGGCAUAUAUAUACGUACAAAAACUAGUUUCAAAAAACUUUUAAUCCUCGGCUGAUGACUUGAUUCCAAUAUAUUCUGCAUUUUUAGGUCAUUCUCUUGACAUUCUGAUCAAGGAAAUUAUAGCUACUUAUUUUAACCAAUCUUGCUAGAUCUACACUCUAAUUCUCGCUCUAACUAUAUAUAUUGCCGCCAUAUAUAUGUUUGUCAUUUUGCUAAACAAUAACAUGCAAAUUAACUAAAUCAAGUUAACUUGGUCUACACUCCACACAGACAUUUGUCUUCGGCAGUACAUCCAACAUUGAACCUACAGCUGCUAGAUAUUUGGAUGCAUCAAUUUUGUCGGAGGGCAAGUUUUGAAUGUGAAAGCAUGUAAUGAAAUAUUGUUUAGAAUCAGGUGUCGACCAUUAGCUCCUUUCAUCCAUCUAAUCGUUUCAUCAUGUUAAACAGAUUAGGAAAGAAAGUUACUCGAGGAUGCUAUAUAACCUAUAUAUAGAUUCUCAAAAAGAAAGAUAACAAUUAAGGGCUAUGACUCGUAGAAAUGAACUAAAACCAUCAUAUAUAUGAUUAAUAUAACGAUAAUGGUUUUGAAUCAAUUCUGUUGAUUUAUAUAUGGACAUAUAUAUUACACACAUGGAUCACAAUUAGAACUGUAUGAGUUAAUAGAUUUAUUAUCCCUAUCUUGGAGCUAGCACAGCGUCUGAAGAUCAUCAUCGACUCAUCAUCGUGCUGGUAUUCUGAUUUCACAAUUUGAUUGCAGGCAUGCACCAUGGUUAUAUUCUUUGGCGAAUUGUAGAUGUCAUUCAGUUGCACAUUAUGUCCAUUUGUGAUCAAAGCAUAGGUUGAAUUUGUGAUCAGCUUAGAUCCUCUUGAAGAGAUUUCACUAAACUCGAUUAAAGAGCUAGAUUUCUCUUCAUCCAUUUAAAUUUUUUUUUUUCUCUCAAAGAGAUUAUUCUAUUCGGUUCGAGCAGAUACCUCAAGAAUAAUAGUGGUAGUGUGCAUCUAAGUGGUAGGAUUCCAUGAUUCCAAAGCGUUACAUCACCUCAAUUUUACCACUUAAAUGCACGGUAAUUCUUGAUCAAAAAUCAGAAAUGAUGAAUAUUCAAGAGCAUAUAUGGAGAGUAGCAAUAAUCCUUUACUCCCAUUGACUGGCACACAAAGAAUUUUCACCUCGGUUUCAGGCCAACACAUAUACCCCCACGUGUUCUAAUCUGCCUCCACCCCACAUAUGACGUCUACUUGAAAUUUCCUAUGAAAAAGAAAGCGGGUCGGAUCCAGUUAACGCCCGUACUUGAAAUUUGUACUAUUCCGUUUCGUACAGCACACCUUCACUUCAAGUUUUCAACUUUGGGGUCGUCACACACGACUCGCCAUAUCUCUAUAUAUACCCCUCCCGGCUCUCAUUUCCCUUUAGCUUCCUUUUGCGUCUUCUUUCCUAGCUAGCUCAUUGUCCUCUCGAAACUCAAACAGCAUUUCCCAACUCUCCAACAAUGGUGAGAGCUCCGUGCUGCGAGAAGAUGGGGUUGAAGAAAGGGCCGUGGACUCCCGAAGAGGAUCACGUUCUCGUCUCUUACAUUCAGCAGUACGGCCAUGGCAACUGGAGGGCGCUUCCCAAACUCGCCGGUGAGUUAUUGGUUUGCUGAUGAGUGAUUAGUUACACGGAUGUGUGAUUGUGGAUCUGAUGUAGUACUGUUUGAACUGACUCGAGUGCUGGGGCUUUCUUUUUGUAGGGUUGUUGAGGUGUGGGAAGAGUUGCAGGCUCCGGUGGACGAAUUAUCUGAGGCCGGAUAUCAAGAGAGGGAAUUUUAGCAGGGAGGAAGAGGAGGCCAUCAUCAAUUUGCAUCAAAUGUUGGGGAAUAGGUAUGAACUUGUCUUGAUCCAUCUCUCAUGAUUCAUCAAGUUUCCUUGUUUGUUAUUUGGUUUGGUUUUCUUAAGUUCGUGAAGAUUGACGAGGUUUUGUUUUUGGGGUAAAUGGGGUUUGAUUUCAUUUUCAUGGUUCCCCAUGGAUGUUUAGUCCAUUUGAUUUGAUUUAUCAAGUAUUUUAAGCUUAUUUAAGUAUUUAUCACUAAGAUAAUUUUACUCGAAAUUAAACUAAUAUAUUUGGUUCAGUGACAUAAUGUCAUAAUGUCAUCUGUAUAAACGGAAGAUCGUGACAGUAGACCGACAGUACAUUUUGUGUUGCCGACAGUACAUUUUAUUUGAGAAAACUGCAUUGGAACUGGAAAAUAAUUAGUCAUGACUCAUAAGAAACCUUCUCAAAAAAAAAAAAAAAAAAAAAAAAAAAUAGUCACAAAGAAAAAUCUUGUGCUGCCGACGUUUCUCGAUGGAUAGUGAGACAGGGUGGGACUGGCCAGAUUCCUUCUUCGCAUAACUUUCUCAUAUAGUACUUAGGUUUAAAAACAAAACCAACACGUUUCUCAAGACGUUAAAAACCAGCACACAUCCAACAUCACACUUUGCUUGGUGCAAUAUAAUCAUUCAUGUGACAGAAACAAAACAAGUAUUUAGUAAUCCAUAUGCAUUCUACCUUUCUAACUUAUCCUUAAUCUGUAUUUUGGUCCUUCCUACUUAGAAUCCUCAGAUGGUCAGACAAUUGCAGACAAGUAUUGGCCGGUCGCACAGACAAUAGAAAUAAAAAACGUUUAGGCACACCACUAGAAAAGAAGACUACAACAUACAACGACGAGUAGUCCUACCACCGACCAACGAAGACACUAAGGUCGAAGUUACUCCGANNNNNNNNNNNNNNNNNNNNNNNNNNNNNNNNNNNNNNNNNNNNNNNNNNNNNNNNNNNNNNNNNNNNNNNNNNNNNNNNNNNNNNNNNNNNNAAUCUUGUGCUGCCGACGUUUCUCGAUGGAUAGUGAGACAGGUGGGACUGGCCAGAUUCCUUCUUCGCAUAACUUUCUCAUAUAGUACUUGGUUUAAAAACAAAACCAACACGUUUCUCAAGCGUUAAAAAACCAGCACACAUCCAACAUCACACUUUGCUUGGUGCAUAUAAUCAUUCAUGUGACAGAACAAAACAGAUUUGAAUCCAUAUGCAUUCACCUUUUCUAACUUAUCCUUAAUCUGAUUUUGGCUUCCACUUGAAUCCUCAGAUGGUCAGCAAUUGCAGCAAGAUUGCCGGGUCGCACAGACAAUGAAAUAAAAAACGUUUGGCACACCCACUUGAAAAAGAAGCUCAACAUCAAGCAGAGUCCUACCACGCCAGAAGCACUAGGUCAAGUAUCCGAACCCGAAUUACCUAAACCCGAAGAUGCUUCAUGUCAUGCAAAAUCCGAAAGCUUCGAAUAUGGCCCGGUUUCUCCACCUCAAUGUACUACUUCAAGUGCUGAUGAUACUUCCUCCUUCACCACCAGUGAGAACAACAACAGUAGUAGUGCUAACAUGGGCAUGAACGUCGACUACGAAGUGAGUUUGCCCGAAGCAGACGAGAGUUUUUGGUCAGAAGUACUAUCAGCUGAUCAUAACAGUCCCAAUGAGUUAGUGAGUAGCCAUUUUGGUGAUCAGGCGAUUGGUGCAGCUGAAAAUCCACAAGUGAACACAAGUAUGGAUUAUGGUUUUAGCGGCUCAAAUAUGUACGAAAACUGCAUGGAUUUUUGGUACGAUGUUUUCACAAGAGCGGGGGAAAUUCCAGAAUUGCUAGAUAUAUGAAUACGGUCGAUCAGGAAUGUUGUUUUGUAGUUUUGUUUUCAUUUAGUUGGGAACAUGGAAUUUAAGGUGUUGCUCAUGCAAGUCCGAACUCUUUGACCCUUAAAAAUGAGGCUAUACGCGUUUCAACGCUGCACAAGUAUAUAUAUUGUUCGAUCAAUUUUGUCGGAAGGAAUAUUUGUACUCCUAGUUUUUAACGAUCAAAGCAGUCAUUCUUGAACAAACAACACCAAAUAGACAAGUUACAUUCAUGGUAUAUACACAAAAAAGACAUUCUCAAUUGGCCAUAGCAUAUUCUCACUACCACAAAAUGGAGCAAAGGCCACACAUGUUAUGUGGGCAAUAGGGGUGUUGCAAUCUCAUAAAAUCUCAUAUAUGUGACAAUUUUCUCUCAUUCUUCACUAAUACCUUCAUUUGCCACACUUAUAGGAAAAUGCAACACGUCUAUUGCUCACACAAGAUAUGUGACUUUUGCUUCAUAUUGUGGUAGUGUCUGGUUAACAAUUAUGGAAAAAGUAAAAGAUGUUUUCGGUUCAUUCUCAAUUUCUCAGUACCACACCGGCCAAACCACCGAUUUAUAACUUGACCUAACAGGAUCUCAAAUUCUGGCCAUGUCGAUACUCGAUAGCGGCCGGUGACUUUCUAGUUUUGUCCAAACUACUCCAAACUAGUGACUUAGGACGGCAAACUAAUGUCCAUGUGGAAACACAGUACUAUUAUAUAAAUUUCUUUUGUUACUGUUAUUUUGCGACUGUAAGAACUUUUUAUGACUGUAAAAUAAUUUUCUGCGACGGAAAAUUGACGUUGCAAUUAGUUUAAAAUCUAUGGUUUCACGGGUCUUCAUCAUUUUUCGAUUAAUUCAAGUUUUCAACCAUAGUCUAAGACAACCAAAUAUCAUCUACUCUUCAAUUUACAUGAUCAAUUACAGACUUAUGAGUUUUCUAUGACUAAUUGGUGAAGAGAUCUUUUGUGAGAUGGAGAUCUUUUGUGGAAGAUAUGAAUGUCAACUUUACUCUUAGGAUUGAUAUAAAGAUAGUGAGUGACUACCAAGUGCAUGGUCCGACUGAUCGAGUAUUCGAGUAGAGAUAUGGAAACCAAGUUGACAUCUUCUAUAUAUUGAGUGGAACAUUGUCUAAACUAGAAGACAGGCCAGGCUCAUGUAUUUUUAAAGAAGCCAACUUUAUAUUGCUGAUAGAUACCAUUGUUUUUAUAUAAUUAAUCUUUAGUUGGAAGCAGUAACUUUCUUUUCGGUCUCGGCUGCUCUCCAGUUUGAUCAGUUGGAGGAAGGAUGUGCUAGGAUGGAGUUUCAGCUCGUGUUUGUUACUUUGUUUUUCUGUGAUAAUAAAACAAUAAAGUAGCAUUUCAGGUACUUCACCAUUUUCUUAUCCUAACACCACCUUGUUAAUGUUAAAAAAUCUAUGCGGAUUACUCAUCAGUUACGUAGUUCGAUCUUCUAUUAUAUUGUAUCAUUCAACUAAUUAACAGAAAACGUGAAAAAUUUUGGUUUAGGCCUCAUUUGCUAUUGGCUCCACAUUCCACUUAAAGAGCAUGAUUUCAGUACAGUAGAUUUCAUAUUAAAGCUGGAGUUAUCAUUUUAUCAACUAACCAAUUUUAUAAUGUAAACCUGGAUAACUUUCAUUUCAGUGUGCACUAGAACAAAACAUAAACGUGCUGGCUCUUAAUUUGAUUUGCUUUAAUCCCAAGAAAAGUUUGUUCGGAUUUCGAUUUUGAUCAGAAUCUCUCUAAAACUCCACUAGAGAGCCUCCAUGGCUCCAUAAAAGGGUUAUACGUACGAGAGUUCAAAGCAUCUCCGAGUCUGCUGUUAACAACUCAAUAUGCAUAUUGACCUCUCAAUAUGCAUAUGCAUAUUGGAAGAAAGUGGCAAAGAUUGAACCCAAGCUCUUGUAGCAGAUCCGUCUCCCCCUUUAGCUAGAGAAUCAACCAUGAAAUUGACCUCCCGCCGAACAUGAUUAAAAGAGAUGUGCUGGAACCAAGUGGCUAAUUAUCAGAUAUCAUUCACAUUUCACAAUUGGCUUUAAUCUCCAAGGAACUUGAACACCUCCAUUGAUACUAUUAAGGGUAAAAUAUUGUAUAAUCCUUGUGGUUUGAAGUCUACAUCUGUUUAGUUUUUAUGGUUUUAUUUUAAUAUGAAUAAUCCUUAAAGUCAUGAUUUUUCAUCUAAAUAGUCCUUAUGACAUUUAACUGAGAAAAUGAAUCGGAAUGACUAUUUGGAUGAAAAAUCAUGACUUUAAGGACUAUUCAGAUUAAAAUAAAAUCACAAAGACAAAACAGAUAUCGAUUUCAAACCACACGGACUAAACAAAUUUCAAUUCUACUAUUAAUCAGUAUAUUAGAAUCUCUUUCAACCACCAAAGACCAAAAACCAUGCAAAUAGGUUGUCAUAAGACAUGCACGAAAGAAAGACCCUCAGCAAGCAAAAUGUCUUGCACAUGAAGACUAUUAGAAGCAGCUAAAACCGGGGUACCACUGAGUCUCGAAACACAAAACCACCAGCAGCUAGCUUUCCCGUCAGCCAACACAGAACCAUCAAAGUUUAAUGGAGGUUUCUAAACAGUUACCUUGGAGUUACAUCAAGCAGUAACUAGGUCAGGAUUCACUCAAAGAUAUACAUAGAGACAAUUCACAUUAACAUGAAUAGUGGAACAUGGAUUAAAUUCCUUACCUCAAAAGAUAUAAUCAUUACGAUCUCUCGACAAAUAAUAAGACUGAUUUUAAACUAGUCCAAAAGCAAUACCAUGAUCCUGAGAAUUAACCGUUAAGGUACACUACUAGAAGAAAGACUUUAGCCAACGAAAAUAAAAAAACCAGGCCGAUGAAUUAUUUUUUCGUCAGCUAAUUAAAAAUUUUCGUCGGCUAUGGUCAACUUUAGCCGACGAAAUUAAAAUUUCGUCGUNNNNNNNNNNNNNNNNNNNNCUAUUGUGAUAUCUUUCCGAAAGCGUAACGGCCUUACGAGUCAAACUCAUCGCUAAUGCCAUGACAUAUGGGCCUUUUUUGGCCAUUCGAGUCCGUUUAGGCUUCAAAAUGCUAGUUUUCUUUAUUUCUGAUUAGAGUUGACCGUUUUGAUCGAGCCCUUAACGUUGUCGAAUCCAGUUGUAAUUUUUUUUACCAUAGACAUCUUUCGUCAUAAUGAUCAUAUCUGACGUCGAAUUUUGGUUUGUAAAUUUUAGUCAUCAGAAUCACAACGUGUCUUCUAUUUACCGUUAUUAUUCCCUAUGGGGAGCCCUAUCGUCGGAAGGUAAAUGUCUCAAAAUUUUUAUAUAGGCGGUUGCGUCUCAUCUACAUGAAAGUUUUUCGUGUGGAAGGUUUGAUCAAACUACGUAAUAUAGAGGGAGAUAUGAGCGUUUUCGUGAAUUUAUAGAGUUUAGCCGACGAGAUAUUAAAAAAGUCGUCGGCUAAGGUCAAAAAUUUUUGGGCGGUAAACCAAAUUUGGAGGAAAAUUUUCAAAUGACUUUAGCCGAAGAAAAUAUAUGAUUUCGUCGGCUAAAAUCGAAAAAUUUUCAAAAUUUUCAACCAAAAUUUUUUGGCGGUCAACCAAAAUUUUCAAAAUUUUCAAAAGAGUUUAGCCGACGAAAAUAAAGAAUUUAGUCGGCUAAAGUUCUUUAUAUAGGAGUUUUACUGAAGGUGGAUGGUAAGAAGUCUGUUUCGCCUGCCAGAUUUUCUUCUCGGCCUAGCUCCGCCGUCAAGCCACCGGAGACCGCCACACUUGUCCCAAAAGUUUCGCCGUCGUCUCUACUUCAUUGCUGGACAGGUGGUGCAUCGAGUGGGGCCGCCAUGAGGGAUAAAUCGAGCUCUAAAACUCCGCCGGUUCGGAUUCGGUGUCGAUCGAAUUUCUCCUUCCUCAGGUCACCAUUUGGUGAGUUCUAUAUAUGGAUAAGUUGAGUUUGAUUAGUACUACAUUCCCCAAGAAUUUGGUAGCUCGAUUCGGUGUGUGUGAGGAGAAUCGAAGAUUUGAAGUUUAUAGGGUUUACAAUUGGGGAUUUUUAUAUUUUGAUUCAAUUGACCUGUUUAGGCUUAGAAUUGGGCUUCGACUUCUUCUAGAAAGUUGUUCGAAAUGUUGAGAGGAAGAUUCUGUCAAAUUUUGGUGGUGAUUGAAGGUGGCCGAAAGUUUCUGCAGUUUUUUUUUUUUCAAAAACCAGCAACUUUAGCCGACGAUAUUUAAAGGUUUAGCCGAUGAUAUUUAAAGGUUUAUUCGUCGGCUACAGUAUUUUUAAAUUUUUUUAUAAGGUUUAGCCGACAAAUCAUGGCCUAUUUUGUCGGCUAUAGUUAUUUUUUAAUUUUUUUAUAAGGUUUAGCCGACGAAACAUACUAUAUUUCGUCGGCUAUAGUCUGGGAAAAAAACCGACGACAUGUUUUUCGUCGGCUAAACUGCGGGACUAUAGCCGACGAAAUUUUUUUUUUCGUCGGCUAAAGUCAUCACAGACGACCUUUCCGACGAAAUCUUAGCCGACGAUGGCUCGUCGGCUAAGAUCUUAGCCGAUGAAUUAAGCUAACAGGCCGAUGAAAAUUUUUAGUCGGCUAAAGUGUUUGUCCUGAUAGUGGUAAUCAACGCUCAAAAGUGAAACCAAAAAGAGGAAUCACAAGAUGAGGAAACAAUCACGUCCAAAUAUGCUUGGUAGCAACACAUUGAAAGAAAAGAUGCUCAAUGGUUUCAAAAGAGGAAUCACCAGAUAGGAUAGUUAAGAUUUUUCCCUAGGUUGAGAAGUAUAAAUAGAAUCUCUAGUUGGAAGUGGUUGCCUAAAAAGCUGCCAAGCAUACACUUUUAUUUUAUGGGGCAAAUUCAAUUUCCACAUCUUAUUUAACAGUUUAGAUUUAGAGUGUGCAACCGUGUUCCGUUUUAAUAAUCUGCAGCAGAUUUCAAAGAGAAUUUCCCGUUUGCCAGUGAGUGUGACGCCCCAAAUCAACUCAUCUUGGAUAGCAAAUUACUGGAUAAGGACAGCUAAAAUGUGUCACAAUUUCAGCAUUCCAUUCACCGUAUAUCAUAUAAUCAACCACAUAUUCAUUCACGAUAAGCGUAUUCCUAUUUGUUUCAGGAAUGAGGGAACCGAAUCAAAAGGAUCACACCAAUUAAAAAGCCAGUAUAUAAUAUUGCGUGAUUGCGUCCAUCCCUAAGGCUCCAACGACAACCAUCAAUCAAAAUAUGUAUGGAAUCAAUAUACCCUUUCAAGCUAACAACUGCAAGGUAGUCUAGUGGUUCUUGUCUAGUUGGGUAUGCUCCUCAACCUAGGUUCGAACCACGACACUGUCAAAAGUGGUCAGUGGAGGGGGUACAAUGCCUUGCUGAAUGUCUGGGCUCCCAGUGGAUUAGUCUUUGGGUCUAGGAAUGUCACACCCCGUUCCCGACGUUGGCAGGUUUUAAGCACCGGACGCCGAUUCCGAGGUGUGAACGAGUGUUACAAAGCGGAAUAAAACAAAAUCACUAUCUUCCAGGCUCGUCGGCUACCCUUUUCCAGCUCGGUACAACCUAAGUAUUUUUUCCGCAAAAAAAUUUCAGAGAUGGGUGAGUGAGCAAAACCACGCGCUCAGUGAGUAGACCAAUGUAAUAUGCCCGCAAAGCCAUGUCAUUUUACCCACGCUACAAAAUACAUAUAUCGUAUACACAUCACUUCACACAAUUCAUCACAUCGCACAAUCCCUUCUUAUUGGAUAUCCUUCAAUUUAGUGAUUCCCACGGGAACCUAAUGACCUUCAAGUCCUAUACCUCCGUGUGUCACAUCCUUACUUCAGCAUAACCAAUCAAAAAGUUCACAUGUUCCAUGACUAGACAAACAAUGGAUCCAACACAUAAUUAUAUAUAAACUCCAUAUAUUUCGUAAAUCGACAUGCUUCACUAUGAAAAUAGAGAGAUAUUUCAUAAAUAGAUCAAAAUCAUGUUUUUGACUAUUUUAAUAGCAAAUAAGAAUAUUUGAAACAUAUUACACAAAUCCACUCACCUCGAUAAUUCGAAUCCUCACCAAGAAUAUUGAUCGUAAACCGAGCCUCCUAAAAUGAGCCAUCUAGAAAUCACCGUUGAAUCACUAAAUUGAAGGAUAUCCAAUAAGAAGGGAUUGUAGAUACGAUACGAACCCGUGCCCCUUCGUAGAUUUAAAAUCGGAGUUACAGAUCAAAAGUUAUGAUCUGUCGAAGUUUAGUCGUAAAAUUAAUUCGAGAGAGAGAGAGAAAAAAAACAGAGGAGAGAGAGUGUAUAUGAGACAGAGUAAUUGAAGUGAGAAACAGCUGAUUUGAAACAUACAUAGACUAGGAGUACCGACACUCAGAGUCGGGUAAAGACUUCCACUAAUAGGAAAGUGACACUUGUCACUUCCACACCAAACCAACUCACCACAAACAUGACUCAUGUUGCAUGAGGAAGUCAGCUGAUCCCUUUCCAAACUGCAACGUGUCACCAAAAACAGCCUAUAGCAACUCGCCACGUCAGCACUCGAAUCGAUUUCGACGAAAGUUUGACGAAACUUUAAAAAAUCGUUAAAAAUAGCUCGGGAGUCUGAAAAAUUCACCGAAAAAUACGGCGAACUCGUAGCGACCUCUACUUUCUAUUUCUAAGAAGAAAAAUCAAUUUUGAGAAAUUUCAAAAUUCAGGAUAUAACAAGGAAGCCUAGGAUACCAUGAUCUUGAAUAGAAAAAAAAAUUAAAAAGAAAAAGAAAAAAAAAAAAACCUUCCAAGCUAAGGAUGAAGAAGACCUUUUGGGCCAUACUAACAACCUUAAAAAUCACACUAAAACAUUAAAAGUAAAUCAUUUACGUACUUGGUAAAAGUAGUUUAAGCAAAUCAAUGGUCUCUUCCUCAUGAAAUAUUUGAGUUGAGCUACCGUUAAAUAUCUCAAAGUUUUGCAAGACUUAAUUGAUAUGAUCAUAAAGCCUAUGAGCAUAUAUUAAAUGGCAGGGACAUAAACUUAAUUAUGAGCUUGCACUAUAAUGAAGAGCUUGUAACCAAUUAAAAUCAAUCUACACAUCAUCUUGCACAUACCCACCAUGGACUUUGGUUAUCUUUUGAGCCUUUUUUUUGAAAGGUUGAGCCAUUGUUUGUGUUAGGAAGAUGAUGAUAGCCGCAGGGGCAGAGCUACUAUUAAUUGGGUUUGACGGGGUUCAGACCCCUGACAGCUUUUUCAUAUACACAGCAAAAAUAGAGAUUAUUCUAAUCAACUAAUGAUAAUAGUAGGUAUUUACUCAAAAUGAACCCCCCAAAGAUCCCACCUCUUGAAACCUUACCCACGUGAUAUCAUCAUUUUUGUAAUGGAAAUACACUCAAUAAAAAAUAAUAACGACAAAAAUUAAUUUAGAAAUAAGUGUUAGAAUAGGAUUAGAAAGUCAAAGUAACAUUUAACAAUAUAUCAAUAGGAAUUCUCACAGUUCUCACAGUAUUUGAGUAACUCUACCCAUUAUUUUGUUAACAAUAGCAAUAACCAUUUCAGUACCUCUAUUUUUUUUUAGUACCUCUACACAUUAUGAUUGUUGCAUUAUUGAUUCCGGUGUUUAAAAACUUUAUAUUAGUAUUAUGUUAUUAUAUUUUCAAUUUUAACUUAUGAUAUAGUAAUUGAGUUAUACGACCGAAUGAUCGGUACAUUUUUUUUUCCGGUAAUGAUCAGCACUUCAUAUAUGAACCCCCUCUAUGAUAAAUUCCUAGCUCCGCCACUGGAUAGCCGAUCAUUUGGGUUUUCAUCCUUCAGUUCUCUAUUAUGGUAGAAGAAAGCUUCUUAGGGUGAAGGUGUCUACCAAUCAUACAUUGCUUCAUAAGUUUUUCUUUGAUAUCUUCCUGUUUCAUCAGUUAAGCCCAGUUAUAUAGAAUAUGAGAACAACUAAUUUUUUUUUUUUUGGAAUCAAAUGUCCUUCGACUUUCAAAUUAAUCAAAUCAAAUGCAUAAGCCAUAAGUAGCCAUUACAUACCCUGCCACUACCAUUUACAUAUAGAUAAACCAUUUACAUAUAGAUGAAGACUUGUCAGUCGAAGCUCAUAUUGGUACAUAUGAUAAGACUAUACAUCUAUCGUAUUCACUCACUUAUCUAGUAAGUCUAUUGUUAUAACCUCAUGCAUAGAAAUAGGCUACGUCUAACUAGCAACAACUUAAGCACCAAUUGAAUAGUUCAAGUAGAACUAAUCCCAAUCUGCUUAGAUGUCACACCCCGGACCCGGUGUCGGUGGUUUCCAAGCACCUGACGCUAAACCCGAGGCGUGAGCGGGAAAAGUAAAAGAAACUAAAACAAUUUCGAUCAAAUACUUUUCUCGAAAUAAAAGAAAAUAAAACAUUUACAAUAACAAAAACAGUUACAAAAACAUAACAGGCAGGCUUGCGAUCUAUCUCACUUCUAAUCUUCCGUAACCCUUCUACACUCUGGUACACGUCAGCUAAACGUAUUGUUCGACUUCACGAAAGACGUGGCGUGCCUUGUACAAACCUGAACAAAUUUCUAUAGGGGUGAGCUUAUGCUUAGUAGGGCCAAACCUUUUUAAGGUUAUUGUUAACUACGUCGCACAACCAAGUUAUCAAACAAUCAAACAAUACCUUAAAUAUAUAACGACAAUGUGAUGCAUUUAUGCUAAUGAAUGACUUCCUCAAUUACUGGCAAUCAGUCCAUACAUCAAAGACAGGUGAGCCUACACGUCUCAUGCCAUGUAUUUUACCAACAAGGGGUGACUCAAAUGUCUCAAAUAUAUGAUCUAAAAAUCAGUAAUAUCUUACCACCUGUACCUCUUUUGUUAGUCAUUUUGUUAUAUUCAUGGUCUCAAAACCCGAAACCCGAAAGAUUGUUUUAUCGAUGUCCGUCAUCGAAGGGGCAUAUUUUCCCCGCAUUUGUGCACGUGUGGGCUACCUUGGAUCUUGGACAACCUAUGAGGAAACUCAACUACACAAAAUGUAUCUAUUCUAUCAAUCUCAUUCUCAUCUCAACAAUCACCAUUCUCACUAAUCUCACAAUUCCUCACAAUGCAUUAUGUAUGCAAUCAAAUAUCAAAACUCGCAUCAUAAUUUUCAAUACAUGCUUUUCUGAUAAGUGAAAACAUCGAUAAUAUAAAUAACAUAUUACACAUGCUUUUAAAAAAACAAUAACAACCAAUAGUUAAUCACUCAAUGACACACAAAACAACAAUGUCAUUUAUAACUCUAUUUACCGAUUUAAAGAAAGGUUCCUAGAGAAAGACCUUACCUGGAAUCCAAGCUUUGAUCCGACGCUAAUUAAAAUUAGUAACGCUGCGACACACUUCUAAAAUCUUUAUCCUUCUGCUUGUGUAAUCUUGCGACUUGUUUUUGAUCCUCGUACCAAAUCCUCAUAAUUGCUUUGGGCACCCGAAAUAAGUUUCCAACAGGGGUGCGUUUAUUGCCACCCCACAAACCACUUUGAUCAUCCCACACGUUGUUGAUUUAUUGAAUGACUAAUAUACCCUAAUGUAAAAUUACAACAAGGGACAAUAAGUUGUUACAAAUUACAAAUAUAUAUAUAUUUUUUUAGAUAAACACAUACUUCAUAAACCUUAACCUAUAAUUUAUCAUAUUCGAUCUUUCUAUGAAGUCUGAAAAAGACACUAGCAUUCAACUCAAGAUGAGAUGAAUUGUUUGUAUUUUUUUUUCUUUGUUGAAGUUUCGUCUAUCUCUUUACUCAUUAUUUCUCAUAUCGAUUUUGUAUGUAAAUUUUCAUAUCUAGUCGCUCACUUAUAUAUAUUCGAAUUUUUUUUUCCAUUGGCCUCAAAGCUUUUUCCAAGUAGUGUUUACAUACAUUAUGCAUCUUGAUAUCGACAUAUACCAAUAAGUUGUUAAGUUUGAGAGUUUUUUUUUGUUCUUUAAUUGAGAUUUAUACUUUAAUGUGAUUUUUAUUGUUUAGUUUGUGAUUCCACUUAUCCAAAUGAUAUGAAUCUUAUAGUUUUCUUCAAUUUCAUUUUGUUUUUGGAGUUCAAUGGCUAUUGGAAGAGGAUGAUAUUGUGUGUAUUACAAAUCGGUGAAUAAAGUAAAUUAAAAAUUAAAAAUUAAAUAAGCGGGGUAAGAAGAGAUCGAAUGUAGGGUGAACAAAGUAAAUCUGAAAUUGAAAAAAAUAUAUGUAGGGUGAAAAAAGAAUUUAGGGUGAAUAAAACAAAAAUGGGAAAAGAGUAUUUUAGGUAUUGUAAAUGGGUGAACAAAGUAGACUUACAAUUAAAAAUAUAUAAAUAAGGUGUGAAGAGAACGUGGGGUGAACAAAAUGGUUUGUGGGGUGGCAAUAGACGCACCCUUCUAACAGUUUUCUGAUUCCAUCAUCGAAUCUCUAUUGCGAUCCUAAUGCCGAUCCAAAUCUCCAAAAUUACUAUAGACACUCCAAAUUCUCAAGCUUUCCAAAAUAGCUUCAAUUAAACGUUUUCUUGAUCAUUAGUAAGUACCCUUACUUACUAAAAUGAAUCAACUAGCUUUGUCUUCUCCCUUGAACCAUAUCUUCUUUGUAAUCAAAAUGAAGUUGUAAACAACAAAAGUCACCUACUAACACCAUCCCCACCUUAAUCAACUUCAAAAGAAUGACUUCUGAUCAUCAUCAACUUUCCAGCUUUCUAAUGUCCAAGUAUAGCAAUACUAAUUACACAGUAAAGCAUGAACUUGGCAUUUGCCGUACCCUGCCAACACCAGUUCAAUAAUCAACUUUCAAUAUCUAACUUCCAACAUCAAGAACAACGAUUUCCUUUCUCAAAUAUUGUUGCAAAGCCAACAUAAACCAAACUUCUUAAAACUGCUAAGGACACCCAAAAUCAUUAAAGAAACCAGUAAACACCAACAGAGCAGUAGAACCCCAAAAUUCAUAUCCUUCGAAUCUUAACCAAACUGAAAAAUAAUUAUACUUUUUGGUAGUGGUUGACAAGCAGACCAUAUUUGAUACCUGAAUCGAAACUCAACUUCGCCGGAAAACCAAGAACACACCAUUUUAGUAUGGUGUCGCUGUUGCAGCUGACACUAGCAUCAUAGCAGCUGACACUAGCAUCAUAGCAGCUGACACUAGCAUCAUAGGAGCUGUCUUAGCCACUGACACCGUCAUUAUAGACGCCACCAUUGAUACAAGUACUGUUGUCUUCGUCGAAAACCCAAUACGCCACCACUAAGAUCCAUGGCUUCUUAUCAAAAACACAACGCUCUAGAAAGUCGGCUUCACUAUUGAACGUAGGUGCCCAAAAAAUAUCAUGUACAACAUACAAUCCAUCAGAAACCUUGAAUAGCUUCUAUGAACGACGCCAGGCCAAACCAACCUGAUUUAAUUCGACCUAUAUACCUAGAAUAUUAUCACCAUGAACCACCACGUUAUCCCUUAAAGAUAGAAAGAAGGAAGAGCUGACUAAAGAUAGCCGCCUCGAUAGAUGAGAGGCUGGGGAAGGCCACCUUGAUAGAUGGGAGGCCUGGGAAGGCCUCCUUGAUAGAUGACAGGCCGAGGAAGGCCACCUUGGUAGUAUCCUGACGUAUUGACCGCUAUGGUUUAGAGAGAGCAUAUCUCUUGUCAUCAUGAUGUGAAAAUCAUGUACAUUAUACUCUAUAAUAAGGCAAAGAUGUCAUUAAAUUAAAAUCUAAAUCACAUACGAGAACAACACAUCUUUAAAUUGAAAAACUAGUUAUAUAAAUUAUAUCCCGAUCUAUGAAUUUGAUGAUUCAAAAGAAAUCAUAUGAUUUUCAGUAUUCUACUCCAGCUUGAAGGAUAUAAAAAUUAGGAAAAGCGCUUGAUCGUGACAGGUGUCUUCUUUUGUAGUUUACAGUCUUGGUUUCUAUCUUUUAAUUUGGACUUAUAAUUGUAACGUUGCAAUAUGUUGUCUAAAUUUGUUUAUGUCUCACUUUUGUUGAAGCCAUAUAUAUCUUAGUAGGAAAAUGGUAAAGACACCAAAUAUAUAUACAAAAAUUGAUUACCAAAUGAUGUGGCAUACCACCUCAUCAAUAUUAUUCCAAAAUUUUAAUGACAUGGUUUAUUUAAUUUCAAUUCAAAACACCAUGUUUUUAGAAAAUAUAUUAUAUAUUUUAAAACUCCAAAAACAAACUAAUUCCAAAUAUUGUUGAUUGUUGAAAGCAUUCCAUCAGAUCUGAGUAUUGCUGCAGUUUUGUAAACAACAUAUUAUUUGUCUUUUUCAAUCAUGUCUUUCAUCUUGCUCUAUGGUUUUUUUUCUUUUUUUUUUUCUGAAUGAAUCUGCUCUAUUCCUUGAGAGGAUUUUGAAAUUUUUUGAUUUUUCGCUAUACUAAAUUAUAAUCAACUAUGAAAAUUACAAAUAAAUCUGCAGUAUUUAGGAUCUUUUCAAUUCUUAGAUGAUAGAUCCAUUGAAAAGAUCCUAAUCCUAUGAAGAAAAAUACAAAGAAAAGGUUCUUCAUUCUUUUAUGAAAUAUGCAUGUUUCAUAAAAAAUUUAGUAGUAAUCUUUCAUGUGGCUUUCAUUAUAAAGUGCUUAUGUUAUUUAGAUCUGGGCAUCAAGAAUUUAAGGUUGCAGAUCGAUAGCCAAAAUGCUAAAAAACCUGUUUGAGGUUUAGUUUGAUUGCAAUUUUUAUUUUGUAUAUUUUUUUUCUUGAAUUUUAUAAAUAACUAAAUGCAUUUUAUAUCCAACAAGUAUUCCAUGUCAACAUAGAUUCUAAAAAGAUUGAUGAUAUGACAUGCACCAUGUCAUUUGGUAAGUAAUUUUGGUAUAAAAUUUUGGGGUCCCUAACAGUCUAACACUACUCAUCUCGGUAGGUGGUUUUUAAUGUUUCUUUCAUUUAAUAUAAUGGAUUGACAACCACUCGUUCGAUAAAAACGAAAGCUAUUUUGUUUUGUUUACUUCAAAUAUGACAUGUCUUUUUCAAAACCGCCCAUGGUUUUCCAAUUUGAAAUUUGCAUUUUCCAGACGUCAUGUAAUUUUUGGAAGAGCGCACAUUACUGUUUUUCCUAAAUAUACACAAUCCUUCUUUUUAACUACGAAUUGAUUUUUUUUAUUCGCAUAUUGCCUUUUCAUAAUCAUUUGACAUUUUCGGAUUAUCACAUUUAUUAUUUUCCCAAAACCUUCAUUCUAGAACCUCCCACCAACCCCCGCUCCACCUAUAUAAUGGUCGUAGUCUGAUGAGCUUUGGCGUACUUAAACCAUUCUAUCUAUUUUUCUUCAUAUAUGAAUAUGGUUAACUAAGUUCUUCAGGUCUAUUGGUCCAACACGAGCAAUAGCCUUAGCUUAGUACCCUGAAUUUGCUAUUAUGUGGGGCAAGACCAAGAGUAUAUAUCAAUGCCUUAGUGGAGGUUUUGGUUAUAUUCAUCAUCGAAUAUGUGAUUUACCAUUUACCAAAAAAUAUAUAAAUUUACCUCCAUACCUCUUGUUUUGUCAUGUUUAUAAAUUCUCAUGGUAUUAUAAAUUUCUCAUAAUCACUUGCUUCACGUUAUUUUCAGAAGAAAUACAUGCUAAAGAUGAUGGAAAUCCAUGCUUGUGACUGUAGAUCCUUGAUGCAAGCUAUUAGCUAUGUUUCUUGGCAGGUUCUCCACUAACCAGAAAGUUUGAAGUUGUCUUGAAGUUUGAGAUGUACCCUCUAAGUUAGAUCGAACAUGUUGUAGUUCUUCCACCAUUCAAUCAAUAGCAGUAAAACCACUACUUGAAGGACCAACCCGAAAGAGAAUUACUUUAAGAUGCCAUACAUGGCAUGAUACACCAUGUCAACAAUCCCGAUGUAAUUCUAACACUCAUGAAUGUGAAAAACUAUAAACUUUACAAGUGUAAUUAUCUAUCUUGAAGGGCAUAUCACCCACCACACUCAUAUUUCCUUAGUUAGUCUCAUAGGCAUGGCCUUGGUCAGGAUAUGGAAAGAAGAGUCAAUUUGACCUUAUUCAAUUUUGUAAAAAAAUCUUAUCAAUAUUAAUUACCAAAGUUUUGAUAUUUAGUGAUAAAUAGUCUUAAUUGUUAUCGAACAUUUGGGAGAAAAAAAUGAAAAAUAAGUAUUUAGACUCUCCAAGUAUAUACUUUUGUAAGGUUCAUUUACUUUGAUUUUAUUUUUGGUGGUUCUAGUCAGAUCUUUGAAUUUGCUAUAUAUAUCUCCUUUAAUUUUUGUGAAAAUUUAUAUUCUCUCUUAUCCUCUAAAAAAUUACACGUGUUCCAUCUGAGGAAGAAAGCUUGUUCCUUUUUCCCUCUCAACAAAUUGUGUCUCUAUAUAGUUUCCACAAACUAUAAUGUCUUGGCUUGGUCUUUAUAUAAAUUUAUAAUUACAUUAAUAUCAGGCUUGAGCAUUGAGGGCAUGCCUCCUUCUUGGGACUGGGCUCUUCUGAAAUGGGGUUGUUGUUAAGCUUGUAAGGAUGCUAAGCUAGUUUAAUUUUUCUAUGGUUUGGUUUGGUUUGGUUUGGUUUUUUUUUUUUUUCUUGCAUUUCAUAGUCAUUAUAGAUGGCGGCGUUGGUGACCUCAUUUUGAUUUUUAAUAGGAAUUGCUUAGGCUUUUCUAAAUGGGCUUAAUAGCUGAAAAUGAUGUUUGUACUUAGGUAAUGGUGUUCUUUUGACAACCUCGCAAGUAGGGCUGGGCUUGGGCCCAAACCGGCACGGUAUUUACAGGGACCGAGCCCGGACUGAUUGUUGUAUACUCGGGCCGAUCAUUACUCUUAUGAAACAAGAGACCGGUAAAAGCCCGAACCGGGACAAGCUUUGCAUUUUCCAGAAGUAGGAAUGAGUUCGGCUUCAGUUUUUCACUACACAAGAAUAGAAAGACAUGAGGGAGUAGAAAAAACAGGUGGUUUAAAGUGAUUCAGAUCCCACAAUCAACAUAUUCAAUAACAAAGUUUUCAGGGUCCAAACUGCAUAAUAUUCUCAGUUUCUAACAAAAAUAUAGAUCAUUCUAAUGCACUAAUGUUGUAUGUUUUAAUAUAGUACUCGCAAGUGCACGAACCACUUAUAGAAUAGAAGUGCAAGCACGAGGUCGUUCCCUCUAUGGAUUGAUUAGAACAACUUAUUAUGCCAAUUAUACUACACCUAAUGAAAUAAACACAUUGAUUUUAUGAUUUUGAUGAGUGAAAAUAGAAAACUAAAGUAAUAAAACUGAAAUUAAAGACAAGAGAACAAUGAAAUUUCUAAGAGUUUAAGAACAAAUUAUGAAAAUGCUAAAGCAUUGAAUCCACCACCUAAUAUUUCUACCCUCCUCUCUAGUUGAUAGCAAUUGAACUCCCUAGAUUGCAUGCUAAAGAUUUCCGUACAUAAGCCUUAUUGAUCCCGGACAUAUGCCAAAGUUCUUCUAAACAAUGAAUUUUAACUUAUUGAUCCUGUAUAAAACUCAAGUAAUCAAACUAUAAUCUACUUCACGUUAUGAUCAGGUUCAAGUAAAACAUGUUCAACUCCAUUAAGCACAAAAGAACUAGGAAAUCAUGUAAACAAGAAUAUCGACUAGGAUCAAGCACUUGUAUUUUUAACUUACAACUCUCUAAUCACAAGAUUAAAUAAAUCUUUUGGAACUCUAGAAAACAUCUACUCUCGAUCAAGCCUCAUAUUUUCAAACCAAAUAACUAAUAAACAAAACCUAGGUCUCAUUGAUCCCAAGCAAAGAUUUUGAAUAAAAGUACGAUUAAAACGGUGAUUUUGAGAAUUUAAAAUAGCAAUCCAUGAAUUCAAAAGCAAAUCAACUAAAGAAAUAGAGUAAUCAUACUAGGGGCUUCAUCUCAGCCCAAGCUAGAAGUUUAGAAAUCCAUAGAUAAAGAAAACAUGACUAGAAAUAAAGAUAGCAUGGAAGAAACAAUGGAAGAGAUAAGAACUCAGGUUGAGAGAUGAUGAGGCUCUCUUCUUCUUUUCCUCUGCGUUCCUUGCUGCAUCUCUCUGCUGUAUCUCUCCUCCCUCUUUAACGUGCUUAGGGUUCUCUUUUAUUCUUCUUCAAAUCCCAAUUGAUUUGGGCUUUUUAGUCUCCUUGUCCAAUAUGGAAUAGCUUUCUUCUCUCCAAAUAACACAAGGUUAUUAUUGUCAAUGCAGGUGUAACCUUCCAAAUAUGUUAGCCACGUUCAGCCCCUUUCCUUGUACUAUUAAGAUUGAUGGACUUGGGCUUCACAAAUUGGAAUCAUGAGAAGAAACACAAAAUUCGUCAGAAUCUGCCUCCACGCGCUGCAUCCACUCAAACCUUCAUAAUUUGCUCUAGAAAAAUGCAAAUCCACUUCCGCAAAAUUCCUCAGAAAGCAAGCAUCCGUAGCUUUCCAAUGGUGUAUGGCUCGCCUCCAGAUUCCUUGUGAGCAGGUACAAUUUAAUCCUCAAAGUUAACGCACAGCAGGGCAGUUUCUGGAUCACUUAGCUCCAAAUUCUCUUUUUCUCCAACUUAACCUACAAAACAUAAAAACCAAGUAAAUGACUCACAAUUGACAAGAACUAAGCAUAUAAUCAUGUAUCUAAGAGUAUAAAAAUGUAUGAAAUAUAAAUCUAUCAACUACAUUGGAUUACUUUAUUCAUAACUCAAUAUCAAUUAUGUAUCGAAUGCCUUUUAGAUAUUAGUUCAAAAGAAAAUAAUCAACCCAUAUAACUCUUAGAAUGAAAAGAAAUAAAAACAGUACAAAAAGAGUUUAAAAACAAGAUUGAAUUUUAAUGAAAAUAACAGUGCAGAUAAAGUAUCACACGUAACUUACCAUGUUCAUUAUGAACCCUAAGGAGCUCGUAUCCGAAAUUGUCUUUCACAAGGCACUCAACAACUUGCAUAUUUUUGCGUGGUCCUUUACGAUUUUCGGACUUGGCCAUUAUCCGAAUAGAGCAAACCUCAACCAUAACCACUCCAAGAUUGUCGGUGCGAAUGAGGUCCUCCAUAUUUAUAACGUUGGCCAAAAUAGUCCAAAUUAGACACAUUAAGCACAUUAGGCUCAUCAGACACAUCAGGCAAAUCAGGCCAAUCAGACAAGUCAAUAGUCCCAUAUACGACAAAUAAAUGUCAGAAAACCUUUUGUGGAUUUAAAAAAAAAAAAUUAAAGACCUCAUUAUAUAACGUAUACAAUUCGGCCCGUAAGAGAAUGCUCACAUGUAUUAUGUAUGAGCACAACGAAAAUUUUCAGAAAGGUUAGGAAGUCUCCACUAGUGCUCAUAUUGAGUAUAAACACCAAAAUGCUCUAUAGGUUCAAAUUUCAAAUUUUAGUUGUAAUCAAUUUGUUCUAUGGUGUUUGAUUUUUCAUAAAUCUAUUACUACAUUGCUACGGAAAAUCUAUUUUUAAGAAACAUCUCAUAAUUCACUUACAUCGUCACAAAACUAAGUAGAAAUAGUUAAUUGCAAAAAAUCACAAAAAAAGAGAGGUAGAACUACCUUUAUUUUGGCAUUUCUCUUUUGUUUCUUUUAUUUAUUCCUGCCUUUGGACUUUUUUGUAGGUGCAGUUUCCUGUAUGUGCUGAGGAUUACGAAAAAAAAGCAACUCAGAGUUAGAGUUGCAUCAUCAGCUUAUCAAAUUUUAGUUUAAUACGGCAAGAUUCUAAAACUCACAAAAUUAAGCCUUCAUUUAUUAUUCACAGGUUGAGUAACCUCAGAUGAAUUACGAAAAAUAACUUUCUACAUGUCAUUUUUAGAUCAUCAAUAUUCUACAACCAAAGUUAAAGAAGUAAAGCAACAUUUCAUAUUAAGCAAAUACUGUUACUGCGUCCAAAUAAAGAAUGAAACACAUAAUAUGAUUUACGAGUCCACUAAUAAUGGAUGCAUGUAUCAAAGUGUAGGAGGGUUCCUAAUUGAUAAAGGUCUACAUAAAAUAGUUUCUUGCAGAAAUUCGAGGUUCAUCGAAAAUGGAAAACGGAACAACCACCCCUCUAUACUACUUAUUACAAUCCCAAGUUUGCCAUUUCUGUCACGUGAUUUGAAUCCCCAAGCAUAUUAUUUGUAAUUGUUCGGUCCAGUACACAAAAUGGAGAGAGUGAGAAUAAAACGGGGGUUCCCUACCAAUCAGGAGGGGGGCAUAAGUGGCAGAAGCUUCCGAGAGAGAGGUUAUUUGGGGGGGGACCAAUAACAAAGUCAUUAGGAAUUGGAGUGGCAGUUGGUGCUUUUUGAGAGAGAAAAAGAGGGUGGAAAUGUGGAAGUGAGAGCAAGAAUGAGCUUAUUUUCUAGGCCAAUCUAAGUGUCAGUUUAUGUCCCCCCUACACAAUCUCAUCAUUGUAAUAACCUAUUAUCUCACUUAUGCUUUGCAGAUAAUCUGCUCAUGUUUUGUAACGGUGAUAAAAGUUCGUAUUCUCCAUGAUGCUCUCUUUGAUUUUAAGUCUUUAUCUGGCCUCAGAAGAAUGUUUCUGGCUUAGUUUGGUAUUGAUGUGAGAAAACUCAAUUUAAAAAAAUAAAAAAUAAAAACUCAGUUUUAAAAAAGUAACAUCUAACCUCCUUUUUAAAAUCGUGGUUAUUUAGCUUAAAAAGUUUUAAAUAAGCACAUUAUAAGGUUUUACCAAACAAGAAAUCUAUUCAAAAUGGUGAUUAUAAGUGAUUUUAUGCUUCAAAACUCAAUAUCAAACUGGGCCUAAGAGUAAAAUAUUUCUUGCUGGCAGUGGCGGAUCUAGCAAUUUUUCUCAGCUAAGGCAAGUGUCGAACUAAGUAAUAUAUAGAAAAAAAUAUUAAGACGAAAAAUAACUUAAUUGUAAAUGAGUCGAUCUCCAUAUCAAAACAUCUUAAAAAUCAAUAGAAACCUGAAAUUUAUAUUUAUGAAGAACAUAUCAAAUUGACUAAAUUUAUUGAGUUUAAAUGAGUUAUAGCAUAUAAUGAUGAACUAGUGAAGACGUACUAUGUACUUAAUCGAUUAAUUAAGAACAAAUAGAAGCGUCAGGUUGUUUUUUCUGUAUGAAAGGAUGUCUUUGAACUGCAAUAAAAAAAAUUAAAACGACGCCUGGAAGUAGUGUAUUUUUCUCAGAUUUUGCCCUUUUAUAGCCAUUUUUUCAUUGCUUGCUUACCACCAAACCUACAUCUUUCAAGGUAAAUUAUAAAACUUAGUCUAGCCAGUUGAAUAGACUAGCCUAUGAAUGCAUUCGCCCCUGCUUGCUGGUGUUGAUGGGAACUCAAAUGACACUGUUCUUCAAGUUAUGAACUUUUUUGUAGGAACUUUCGCAAUUCGUUAUUUAGGUAUUCCUCUAAUCACUACUAAAUUGAGAAUUUAGGAUUGUUCUCCAUUGUUUGAUCGAAUUGAAGCUCGUAUAAAACAUUGGGAGAAUAAGGUGCUCUUCUUCGCUUGUCGACUGCAGCUCGUUCAAUCUGUUUUAUCUAGCAUCCAAGUGGACUGGGAUUCUCAUUUGAUCCUUCCUAAAAAAGUUUUAUCCAGCAAGAGUGAAUCGUUAUGUGUACUCAAUGACUGAUCAAUACAAGCGUUAACUCUUUGUUCAAAAAGAAAAACAUAUGGCUUGACGUCCCCUUCUCAAAGCAAAAAAAGUAUUUAAUUUUUAGGAAAAUAAAAGGUAUAUGAGGAGGAGUUUUUCUAUUGAAACAUACAAAUUUACUCACUUAACCUUUUACACCUUUUAUACCUCCUAUGAGAACUUCAAAUACAAAAUUCAUUUAGUGAGGAUAGUAAUGUCACUUAAUGAGUAGGCCAAAACUCUUUGAACGCGUCGUACACGCUUUCGUAAAACCUAAAGUUUUGUUAUGUCUCUAUGGGCUUGUAUGACGGCUCACCUCAUCGACAUGCAUCUCGCCUCGCUAGAGUGUGGUGAGUGCAGCCGGGUGGGUUGUUGUUUUGCUUAUGGCUUCUAUUGGUUUUGGUGCAUCUGUCAGAUGAUGACGACAACAAUGAGGAAUCCUUCUAGGUUGACGGCGCAUUCAUGGAGGGUAGGCGGGGUUUGUAGGUUUUUCGCACGAUUUUUGCUUGUUAUGGCAGAUCUAGAUCGAGUCAUAAUGAUGGUGGAUGGUGUACGAUCGAUAUAGGUGGUGGCGAUUAGGUCGAAAGGUGAGGCGUUAUUUGUUUCAUCCGCGAUCUAAGCGUGUUCUACCCAGUUGUAUGAGGGUUUUGGUGCUAGGGUGGUGCAACUGCGAUGGGAUCCCAGGCCGUGGUAGCAGAGAUGGCAACGGUGUGCAGGCGGCGGUGCAAGGUUAGGCCUUGGUUGUGGGCAGGAGUCUACUCAUUGUUUUUUGGGCCGGAUGUUAAGCUACCCAAUUUCUUAAGGGUCAUUAUGUGUGAAAUAAUUCCUCACCGUUAUUGGGUAGGCGGUAGGCCGAUGUGGACUUGGUCCCGGUAUGCACACUCAAUGUGCCUUGACUGGCCUAGUGAGGUGGUUGUUUGAAGAAUGAUUAAGUCAUAUAAAAUUUGAAGCAAAAAGCCAAAAAAAAAAAAAGACUUGAUUUUAUUUGUAAAGUCGAAAAAUGCAAAAACACUAGCAUAUAAAUCACAUUGGAACAAUUGGCAAUGAAAUAUGUUUGUGUUGAAGGUGACUAGGAUUCGAUGUAAUAUAAUAGCAUUCUUUAAAAACUAUUGCUCACAUCUCAAUUUCAAUCCAACGACUGACACCAAUUAUAGUUCGUUAGAUUGAAAGUUAAGUGUGGCUAUUAGGACCUCCAAAUUUUCUCAGUAUACCUCUUAUUCUCUCUACACCUCCAUUUUACUUUUCAAUAUAAACAUUUUCUCACUAGACCUCAUUUCAAAUUUCUAACAUAACCAUAGUUAUUUAUUGACAUAUAUUUUAAUUAGUUACUUAUUUUAACUCUUAUUCACUCAAUGAACCUCUCCUUUUUUCUUUUUUUUACCUUUUUGUUUUUGAACAUCCAUUAUCCCUACCUUCAUUUUUUUAUAAUUUUUUUCAUGCAAGAAAAUGUUUUAUCAUGAACUAUUAUAUAUAUCUUUUUAACUUUUGUUUUCUCUUUUGUACUUGUUAUUUUUUUAUUUUGAAUAAUUUGAUCUCUAUUUUAUACCUUAUAAUAAAUUAUUUAAUAAAUAUAUAUUUCUAUAAUCAAUAGAUAUAUAUAUAUAUAUAUAUAUAUAUUNNNNNNNNNNNNNNNNNNNNNNNNNNNNNNNNNNNNNNNNNNNNNNNNNNNNNNNNNNNNNNNNNNNNNNNNNNNNNNNNNNNNNNNNNNNNNNNNNNNNNNNNNNNNNNNNNNNNNNNNNNNNNNNNNNNNNNNNNNNNNNNNNNNNNNNNNNNNNNNNNNNNNNNNNNNNNNNNNNNNNNNNNNNNNNNNNNNNNNNNNNNNNNNNNNNNNNNNNNNNNNNNNNNNNNNNNNNNNNNNNNNNNNNNNNNNNNNNNNNNNNNNNNNNNNNNNNNNNNNNNNNNNNNNNNNNNNNNNNNNNNNNNNNNNNNNNNNNNNNNNNNNNNNNNNNNNNNNNNNNNNNNNNNNNNNNNNNNNNNNNNNNNNNNNNNNNNNNNNNNNNNNNNNNNNNNNNNNNNNNNNNNNNNNNNNNNNNNNNNNNNNNNNNNNNNNNNNNNNNNNNNNNNNNNNNNNNNNNNNNNNNNNNNNNNNNNNNNNNNNNNNNNNNNNNNNNNNNNNNNNNNNNNNNNNNNNNNNNNNNNNNNNNNNNNNNNNNNNNNNNNNNNNNNNNNNNNNNNNNNNNNNNNNNNNNNNNNNNNNNNNNNNNNNNNNNNNAACGGUCCAGCUUAUGUCAAACUAAAACCGUUAGAAGGGUCAUUAAAACUAAAUUGAACUUUUGAAAGCCUUAACGAUCACCAAAUCAUAUGAAAUUUUGUAGAGGUGAUCUACUCAUAUAGACCUAAGAUAUAAACGGUGGAGAUGUAAAAUUAUAAUCGGGAAGUUGGUGUAAUGCCCUAUCCCUAUAAAUGGCUUAAAAUAGGGAUCCCUCAUUGGAAGGGCCCUGUAUAUAUAUAUGCUUUAAUAAAAAGAAAUUAGAAAACGAAAAUAUAUAAGGAAAAUAAUAAAGAAUGUAAUCAAUUAUUUAUUGAAUUGGAAAGUCUAGAAAGAAUAAAUAUAAUAUUUUCUUUUGUAUAAUUAUUUGUCCUUAAUAGUCAUUGUGUAUGAGGAUAUAUAUGUCAUUUAAUAAUUCACAAUAAAGUGAGGUCUAGUGAGCAAAUUUGGAAGUCUCAAUAGCCGCACUCUUGAAAGUUUAAUUGCAUUAAACGAUCCAUAUUAAUAUGAAAGUCUGUAUGCUUUAUUUCCUUGCAAAAUGCCAAACACGCAUGCUAAGACUCUUCAAUUUUCUACUCCACUAGAAACCAAAAGGUUGGUUUAGGACACACGGCUUAUGUGUAUUUAUGCAUGGCUGACUUCAGUAUUCCGAGCUUAAGCCAGUAUGGAGACUGGUUUACCUCGGUCAGCUCCACACAGUAAGCAGCGAGAGACCAUAUACAAAUUGCUAACAACCUUUUACUUGUUCACCUCAAUGCCCACCAUCUAGGUUAAUGACAAGAAUAAAGUCAAGCCAUUCGAAACGACAUGUGUGAAUGACAAGAAUAAAGUCAAGCCAUUCGAAACGACAUGUGUAAUUAAUUUCAUUUGUGGGCAUUGAGGUGAGCAAGUAAAAAAAUGGUCGGCAAAUUUGUAUCCGAGAGAGACCAGCUUCUUGACUUGACUACCUAUAUGGACGUGGUGACCUAGAUUGGUAUCCUACCAACAUGUGAUCGAAUGCUCUUAGCAACUUAUCAAAGUUUUUAUUAAUAGGUCACCACAUAGCUUGAUCAAUCAUCCAAUGUCUCGCAUACUUUGAUCGUAUAACCUUAAAUUGUAUUCCAUAGUCUAGCUCUUACCACUUGAUUUUUCAUUUAGUUCCUUAAAAUUUAUCAUGAAAUCCGAGUUAGGUUUUAAACUUAGGUUUCCUCCUCGGUCAUUUGAAGUUUUGAACCUUAAAAAAUCUGAUUUUUAUAAUAAAAAAAUCUGAUAAAAUAAAAAAUAAAAAAAUAAAAAAUAAAAAAGAGAAGAAAGAUGUGCAACGGCUUCGUUUAGGUUGUGACGAAAGAAAAACGGCGUCGCUUAGGAAGGAACAUAACCGCCUCGCUGUUCCUGGAGAAAAGAGACGCUAAUAUAAAGCUUUCCCGAUAAACAAUAGCGCUCUCAUUUUGGCUCCGUUCAGGCAGCUUAUUAGGGUUUUGAUCUUCAAUCUCUUCACCGCGACCCAAAUAUGGCGACGGCGUCAGGUUCGUAUCCUCUCUCUUCUUCCUUCACACAUCUCUCAUAUCAUUACCCUUUACUUUUUAUUUCCAAUUUUUCUUAAUCAUGAAGAAAGACCCAUCCUUUGUGUGGUUUCGUAUGUAAUUGAUCGGUGUGGGAAUUCAAAUAGUAUCAAUUCUUUGUUUAAAUUAGUUAUCUGUGUCGGUCGAAACUGGUUCGAUUUUAGGGUUUUCAGGAGCUGAAUUUGAUAAGUUAGGGGUUUUCUCAGAAAGUGGAGAUUCGAUUGAGUUUUACUAUUAGUAUACUCAAUUCAGUUGAGAAUCGGUUUUAGAAGUUCAAAUUAUGAGUCGAAAUGCUCGAAACCGUAGCUAAAAGGCUUGAAGAGUUUGAGUUUCAUAGUUUUGAUGUAUUAAUUGCUGUUGGUGUGUUGUAGUGGCAUUCAAAUCAAGGGAAGAUCAUCGUAAGCAAAUUGAAUUGGAAGAAGCCCGAAAGGCUGGGCUCGCACCAGCUGAGCUCGAUGAGGAUGGAAAGGAGAUCAAUCCUCAUAUUCCUCAGUAUAUGUCCUCUGCACCUUGGUAUCUCAAUGCUGAAAGACCUGUAAGUUGUUCAUUUUUCGCUUCUGAUGCUAUGUUGUUAGUUUUGACAAGCAAGCCUCGGUGUGAGGUAUGAGCUCGGGUACUGAUACAUGUUAUUUUGUUCUGGCUUUUCGUUUUUGGUUUGAUGCAGAGCUUGAAACAUCAAAGGAAAUGGAAAACAGAUCCAGAUUACACAAAAUCGUGGUACGACAGAGGUGCAAAGAUUGGCCAGGCUGAUAAAUAUAGGAAGGGUGCAUGCCAGAAGUAAGUCUAUGUCUCUCUCUAUAUGUCUAAGUCUUUUGGUUCCAUGGAAUCUAUUUAGAUAAUGCAUAAUUAUUUAAUGGUGGAGCAUUUUGGUGAAUGUCUUGUUUUGUUCAUCACUGGGAAUGCCGUGCAUCCUGUACCCAUACAAGAGUGAUAUUUUUCUUCAUCAUUAUUGUUUUUCCUGAACCGGAGACUAAUCAAUAAUGUCUGUGUUUGCAGUUGUGGAGCUAUGUCACAUGAUGUCAAGUCUUGUAUGGAAAGACCCAGGAAAGUGGGAGCAAAGUAUACAAACAAACACAUUGCUCCUGAUGAGAAGGUAGAGACUUUUGAGCUCGACUAUGAUGGAAAACGGGACCGCUGGAAUGGAUAUGAUGCAUCAUCUUAUGCUCUAGUCAUCGAGAGAUACGAAUCAAGAGAUGAAGCACGAAGGAAAUUCUUAAAAGAACAACAACUUAAAAAAUUGGAGGAGAAAAAUAAUAACCAAAAUGGUGAAGAAGCAGUUAGUGAAGAGGACGAAGAGGAGGCUGAGGACGAGGAUGAUCUGAGGGUGGAUGAAGCCAAGGUUGAUGAGAGCAAACAAAUGGACUUUGCAAAGGUGGAGAAGCGUGUUCGUACAACAGGUGGUGGGAGCACAGGAACUGUCAGGUAAUAGCUUCUUUUGAUGUGAUGUUUUAUCCCAUCUUGUGUUUAAUGGGUGUUAUUGUGUGAACAUAUAACUGCAAGUGAGUAACAAUGUUUUAUCUGCUGGUUUCUGUAUGGUAAAUUAGUAAUGCUAGAAUUAUUCUCAAGGGCCUUAAUAUCAUGUGUAACGUUAUUCAUUGUAUAUAUGUCUACAGGAAUUUGCGUAUUCGUGAGGAUACUGCAAAAUAUCUUUUAAACCUUGACGUCAACUCUGCACAUUAUGAUCCCAAAACCCGUUCCAUGCGUGAGGAUCCUCUUCCAGAUGCUGAUCCAAAUGAGAAAUUUUACGCGGUAGGUGGCUCAGAAAGUUAUUUCAUAUCUAUGGUUGGUUCUUUAGUACUUCAUGUUUUACUGAUUUGACUGGUUUCUGUAUUACAGGGUGAUAACAGAUAUAGAAAUAGUGGUCAAGCUAUGGAGUUCAAGCAGUUGAACAUUCAUGCCUGGGAAGCAUUUGACAAGGGACAAGACAUUCACAUGCAAGCAGCCCCAUCCCAGGCUGAAUUACUGUAUAAGAACUAUAAGGUAAUUAAGGAGAAUUUGAAGUCGCACACAAAGGAGACCAUUUUAGAGAAGUAUGGCAACGCAGCUAGUGAAGAAGCGAUUCCUAGGGAGCUUUUACUGGGACAAAGUGAAAGAGAAGUCGAAUAUGAUCGUGCUGGAAGGAUUAUCAAAGGACAGGUAAAUUAUUUACAUCUACUGUUUGUUCAUGAUACGAUAUAGGGUUUUUGUUUUGUCUCAUUAUGGAACUCAAGGAGCACUAAUGUAACUGUCAGAGUCAAACGAAAUAGGUAUCUGAUCAAUCUGUCUUUGACUGGUACAGGAAACCACACUUCCCAGAAGCAAGUAUGAAGAAGAUGUUUAUAUCAACAACCACACCUGUGUAUGGGGUUCAUGGUGGAAGGAUCAUCAAUGGGGAUACAGAUGUUGUCAGCAGUUUACUCGAAACAGCUAUUGCACAGGUGCUGCUGGAAUAGAGGCUGCCGAGGCUGCAACUGAUCUGAUGAAGGCUAACAUUGCUCGUAAAGAGGCUGUUGGAGAAAUGCCUCCUCCUGCGGAGGAGAAAAGACCUGCCACUUGGGGAACUGACAUCCCAGAAGAUCUGGUUUUAGAUGAGAAAUUACUUGCUGAAGCUCUUAAAAAAGAGGAUGCAAGAAGGAAAGAAGAGAGAGAUGAGAGAAAACGCAAAUACAAUGUCAGAUGGAAUGAUGACGUUACUGCUGAGGAUAUGGAGGCAUACAGGAUGAAGAAAGUUCACCAUGAUGAUCCAAUGAAGGAGUUUCUGAACUGAUUUUCAUAUAUCAUAUAAUCGUGGUGAAGCUUAACUACUACCUGAAUCAGACCUGCUCAUUUCAGUCAGAUCAUUUCUUGGAUCAGUUGGGAUCCUGAUUAGGAGCCAUCUGAUAUGAGAAGCUCCGAAUGGGAUUUCUUAAGCAAAUCUCUUAAAAGUGUGAGGUGUGAUUACUGUUAAGCUAAAUGCUGAGGAGUUGGCAGUUAUGUUGCUGUUAAAGAGCGUGGUGGUAGGCUGUGCUCACUUCAAUUGUUGUUUUAACUUUAGUGGCAUGAACGAGUUAUGUAAUGGAAUUACUUUGGGUUUAAGUAUUAUGUUCAUGUUCUUGGUCCUGCCAGGACAUGUUUAUCUUGAAUAAAUUGUUGGAAGCAGAAACCCGAAGAGUUUUUCUUUUGGUCUUUGGUUAUUCUAAUGGAUUCCAACGGCCAUAUCGAACUAUAAACUGGGCAAAAAGUUGCCAGCUUAAAAGAGUUGAAGAAUCUGAUUUUGUACAUGAAAUCCCAUAUCAGCUUAAAGAAUCUGAUUGCAAAUGGAAUUGGCUUUAUUUACACCCUAUACAGGAUCAACUGUAAUAAUUCAAGCUGUUCUUCAUUACAAGCAAUUCACUAUAAAUGGCAACGGGCCAACGUCUCCUGGUCCUUCAUUUCUGCCCUGAACCGAGCUAUAAACUCCUCAGCUCUUCUAUCGAUUCCAUCCAUUUGGGGGGAGGCAAUUCCCAGCGACUCCCACAUAUCAUCUGCAGCACUAGUCACUCCGUCAGACUCGUUAUUCUCACUAGCUGCAGAUGGAGAUUGCUUGCUUGCCACAGAGCGAUUAGCAAUAGGCUUGAUCACACACUUUGCUUCUGGAGUUUUCUGGUAUUGACAACGCUCAGCAACCAGCUCGGAGACAGCAGGCUCUUUAAAGAGCUUGUCAACAUACACAUGAGCAUGCCGGCUUUGGAGCAGGCUGCGGCAAUUAUGAUGAAAGCGCAGCGAAAAGCGUGGUUUGUGCUGCAACCGUAGCUGGAGAAACUUGUAGGGUCGAACGCGAAUAGAGAUUGUAGUGGAGGGCUUGACUCGAUUUCUUGGUUUGUUGGUGGCUUUGCGUUUGUAGAGCUUGCUGUGUAGUUUGGAAGUGAAGCUCUUCCAAGCCUUUCUGGCUGGUGGAAGCCUCAGCCUCAAGCAAGACAUGAAUGGGAUGCUGAGACGCUGUGUUAAGGUGCUUCUUAUAUAAUAGGCUAAGCUAGUAGAUUAUAUUCCUUCAUCUUUUGGAUUUUGGAUUGGUUUUACAUGGAUUAGUAGCUUACUUCUUAAGCCACGCGCUUCACUUUACAGAAACUGAGAGAACAAAAAGGCAUCACGAUUCUAGAAUCCAAGUUGCAACUUUCUCAGCUUGUACAUGUACUCGAUUCGAUUCUGAAAGCCAAUAUCAACCCCAUGGCCACCUAUUUCAUGAAAAAUACGCAUGAUUUCAAUCGUUUUGCUGAGAUGUGUAUGUCUUUUUCUUCCUAUAUGCAUGGGUGAAGUAUACCCGGGAAAAAAAAAAUCCAAGGAUAAGAUCAGUAUAUGAGCAUCUCCUAAAUUAAGUUUCGGAAAUUUUACCUCAUGGUAUGAAUGGAUGCUGUUGCUUUCUUAUUGCAAAAUUUUUCUAGUGUAGUACAAUUGUAGACUGCAUCUAACUUUCUUUUCCUGCAACUUGUAAAUAUGCCUCUGUCACGUAGUUGGAAGAAAACACAGCGAGAAAUGGAGAUAGAUUCUUCCAUUNNNNNNNNNNNNNNNNNNNNUCUAGUAUCUAGAUAAUAUUGUGUAGAUCAUCUCUGCAAAAUUUCAGCCAAUUUGGUAAUCGUUAAGGCCUUCAAACUCAAGUUUUUCUGGUAUGAACACAACCGGACAGAAUUCAGUCCGUCCAUUUGUUUUUCGAGUUUAAAGGCCUUAAUGAUCACCAAAUUGGCUGAAAUUUUACAAAGAUGAUCUACACAAUAUUAUCUAGAUACUAGACGGUGGAAAUAAAAAAAUUCGAUCUAAAAGUUGUGCAAAAAUAGAAAUCCGCACCAAAAUAUUCGUACGGACAUCCGCAGCUGAGAAAAUCCAUAUAUAUAUAUAUAUAUAUAUUGUCCGAGAGAGUAGAAAAUUGACCCUCAUUCUAGAGUGUGCAGUAACAAAGAAUUUGUAUUGAUAAUAUUAUUUGCUCAGAAUCUGUCACUCCCAAAAAGGAAAUUUGGAGGGAUUUUGAUUUGCUUAUGCUCUCAGUAAAGAACUGCAUUGAAUUGAUCAUACUAAAAUUAAUAUACUACAAAAUUUCCUGAUACAACAUCCACAUCGGUUAUGAUCAGAGCUUAUGUGAAUAACUAUAUAAGUGACAGCAUUCUAAAUUGUUGAAUCUCUCUUACUCUCCAUAUUGGGAAAAGAGCACCUUCAGGAAGUUCUUCAGGAUCCCAAGGUUGCAUGGCCCAGCCAUAGAUCACAGUCUGGAUCGUAUCCUAAUGAAACAAUUCGAUUUCACAAAACAUGAGCUUUUACAUAUAAAAUUUACAACUCGUAUGCUGAAGAAAGAAUACAUGUUCUUAUAGAGAAGACUGAUUUGAAGAUGCACCCACAAAGUAUCGCUUAAGGUCAAACCCACUAAACCAAACUAAAUCCUUUAGGAGUAAAUCAAACUUUACUGUUCUGAAUAGAGAUUAAACCAAGUCAUCAGACGUCUCCACCGACAACGGAUAGACUGAAGAUUCAGAUGGCUUGCCAUUGCUCAAAUUAGGGAAAAUUAGCACUUAAGUAUAUGAAUAUUAUUUUUUACCUGGCUGCCAUCUGUUAUUGCUCCAUUUUUAUCACGCACACAAUAGAUUUGCUGUGUUUGGAACUGCAACAAGUUUGUGAAAAACAGCCGUUACUACCAGACUAUCAGCUUGUGUACAACACUUGCAAUUGAGGAAAUAUUUGAAAAUACCUACCCGGACAAUGAUUACAGGAGACUCUCCAAUCAGUUUGGUUUCUACGACUUGCACAUCAGAUAUAUGUAGAAUCUGCCCUUCCAAAAGACAACCAUAUAUUAGUAACAUGAUGAUGAUAUAUCCAUGCCAAAUAGCAUGACCUGAAAAGGCUUCCCUCACUCAUUUCAUAAAAACAGAAGGUAGAAAAAAUCUGCUCAACCUUAAUCAGCUAAGUAGAACAUACAUUACAAAAAAAAGAAAAAAAAAAAGUAAGAACAUGCAUUGUUAUUUAGUAACAGUUUGCAUGAUAGAAAAUGAUAUGGCUACCGUAGUGAAUGUCUAUUGACAUUCAAAAUAAAAUAAUAUCGGUACUAUGUCGAAGUGAGUCAACUGGAAAGGAGCUUAGUUAAGACCCUCGCCAAAUCACACACAUUGAUUAACUAUUAUUCAUAGUUUAGCAUGAGCAGAGGCUUAUAUGGAUUAAUAAUUUUUUGAUGACAUAUAUUGAAUAUCAACUCCUUAAGUUAAUACCUCCAACUUCACAUCUCAAUCUUUAUUAGAUGGCUAGCCUUCAGAAUCAAAUAUCAAUGCGCUAUAGAUCAACAGUGAAAGACAGAAAUAUAAGCACGUGUUAUUAUAAUUUUGCUAACCUGAAUGCGACAAAAAUUGGCAUGGAAAUACUAACAUCUUUAUGGAAGAAGCAAAAUUUCCUACCUUGUUAUCAAAAAAGAUAUCAUGGCUUUGAUAAGCCUGACGCUCGGCUUUACACCGCUCAAUCACCUCAUUAGCACAGUACUUCUUCAAUGUUUCAAUAUCUCCCUGUUGAUAAAAGUGAAGGUGAGAAUUUAUAUCACUUUGAUGAGGAUUAAACCAUGAGAAAGACAAAUAAAAAUGUGAAGCUACAAAUCGAGCAUUUCUAACCUUCAUGUAAGCAUUUAACACAGGUUUGACCGCAUUCUGAACUUCUUCCACAAAAUCUGGUAAAGAGAAAGAUCUGAUCCACCCAAAAUGUUACAAUGGGAAAAAUAAGUUAGUAAAGUAAUCAAAUUAUAAGAUGAAUAUGACAAGGGAAACGUCACAAUGGUCAUACGGAUCUCGGGCAUGGAUCUCCUUGAUUGAUGCUGCAGCAUUUGUUUCUUGAAAAAUACUUUCAUUGAUACUGCAAAAGACAGGAUGGUUAAACAAAGCAAUCAUCUAUUUUGGGGGGAAAUUAACUCAUAAGUACUGAGCAGAAAAGCAAAUGAGUUUUAGAAGCAUACUCCUGAAUUUUGUGAACAAUUGGGCUAUCAGAAUUUUCCCAGCGUUCCUUCAUGUCAUCAAUGAUCUGCCAAUUCCAACAAGGAUAAAUGAAACAGUAUACCAAUAGAUGAAGUACAAACAAUACUACUUGGGACAUAGCAUGAAUGAAACAAUAGUUGAAGCAAGCUAUCAAGUUCCCUCUUCUAUUAAUAUUAAUAAUAAAAAAAGAAGCAGUUUUCCACUAUUUCUCUCACACAUAACAUGUAAUUGUGUCAUCCUACCCGCUUUAAUACAAAUGAUGGCAUCCAUAACAGCAUUGCAUUACAAAAAAUAGAAAUAAUAAAUGAUACAAAAUAAUUGUUAUCUUCUGACCAAACUAGAAUUGAAAGAUGAGAAAGAACAUUUGAAUUGCAACAUUAUACCUCUUCGCCUUUUAUUUUAACAGGUUCACUUAUCCCACUGAUAUGCUUGAAUAGAGGAUUCCCUUGCAUCUAUGUCAGAAAGAAAAAUAAAAGUAUUUCGCAAAUGAGAAGAGGCAAUAAGAUAGAUCUUCUUCGUAAUACUUUGUGUAAGCAUAAAAACUUACCUUCAUUUUGAAAGCCUCCCACUUUUUGCUCCAAGGAGAUUGUUUGGUGGGUACAAUAGCAAUGUCACUUGUUGCACUUCUCUCAACUCGUGGGAUGGAAGAAGGAUCAAACCCUAGAUGCUUUUUCCUACUUUGACUACCAUUUAACUCAUCCUUUACAAUUUCAUAUCCUCUUUUGGCCAUGUCAACAAACUUGGCUUCCUUGAAUCUAUUCAAGACAGAGGAAACAUUUGAUGAAGAGACCUUUGACCUAAAUUUUCCAAAUAAUGUUUCUGCAGUAUCACUAGCCCCUGAGUGCUGGUGUUUAUCUUCAGUGGAUGAGGCCUUGCUUCCACCUUUCUCAUCAGCAACAUGGUCAGCUGAAGCACGAGAAGGCCCUGAAGCCUGCUCUUUCCCUAUUCCAAAAGAUUCUUUGACCUGAAUUGGAAUAACAAAGAUACACAGAAAAAUGUCAACCAAUCAAAGUAUCUAAUAGUACAUGGUAGAAGGUAAAAAUUGAAACAACCAAGCGGACCUCUUCUGUGGCAGCCGAGAACUUCUCUUUUACAUUUGCUGAGACCUGUACACAUAAUUGUCAGAUGAAAACAUAAAUAUCAGAACAGACGCCAGAUCUUAUAUUCACAAACUAUGACCAGUUGCCAAAGUGGCAAUAACAGCUGGUGCACAGCAGGAGAAUGCAGCCACACAACUGCACAUAAAUCUAAAUUCUAACAAAAAAAAAUAUAUAUGUCCAUCUAGAAAAUUGGAGCCAUUGCAAGAGUUAUUUUAUAUAUAUUAAUACAUAUAAGGGCAUCACAGUUUUUACAAGCGACACAUUCUGCCACUAAGAAAAUCCUAUGUCCACAAACUCACAAACUUUCCAUAUUUUAGAAUUCUGUGAAGUGGUACCUUCUUUGCUGUUGCUUCAGCCUCCGUCCAAGCACCAUCCACCUGCUUGUAUAGCUGCUCCGUUGUCUGCUUUGUUCUGCAUUUGUGAUUUCAUCAUCUCAGAGCCGCCAUGGGGUAGUGCCCACCAGCCUUGACAUACAAGGGUAUGUCUCAGCCUAUAAGCUAAAAACUUUUAAAAUUUCUUAUGGCAAUAAGUCAUUAUAUCACAUAAUUACCUAACUUUCAGAUCUUCUUUCACUCCCUUGAGCUCUUCCACUUGCUUCUUCAGCUCCUUGACCGUCUUUUUAAAAUGUGGAUUCCUGCAGCCAGAGACAAUAUACUGAGUUUAAUGUUGUAACCUGUAUGCAAACAUACCACAAUCACCAAAUGUCAUAAACAAACUCAUGAUCAGAAAAAAAAAUCCCGCACCGGUCAGAAGUUUGGAAAACAAACAGGAAAAUUCACAAACUUUUACUUCACACUCGACUGGGGACUCAAGCUAUUAAUCCUAACAAGUAAAAACAAUCAGAAUACCAGAAUUUACUCAAAAAAAGUUGUCAGCUUCAGGCUGCCCAACAUUAUAUACCAAUCUAAUUCGCCAUAAAAUACCGUUUAGCUUAACUACAGACACCCAAAUCAACAUUACAAAUGCAAAAUAGAUUGCGAGAGAGAGAAGUACUUAUUGGUUUCCUCCUUGACCUGCUUGGAAAACUCAUUGAAGACACUGAAUCGACGAUUCCCGGAAUACCCAUUUGCCGAAAGCAAUCGAAUAUUCGUGCCUGAAGCCUAUCACCACAAAACAAACAUGAGAAUCAAAUCAAAGUUUCAAUCUUUGAUUGGCAAACUUGUUGAGAUGACCAAUACCUGUUGUUGAGACCGAAGAACAAGGGAUUGUCUGUGGAGGAACAAAUCUCGAACAAGCUUUCUACCAGCCAUGAUUGUUGAUUCAACUCUUUAGUGGGGUUCCAUAUAAAUAAGAGUAGCUCACUUUUAAAUUUGAAUAAGAACAAAAAAAGAGGAAGAAGAGAGCCGAGAGAUUUCGACGGCAAAGGAGUUUUGUUGUCCCGGACGAGUGUGGGAAUUAAUAUCGAGUUUCCAAACUUGGGAAGAAAGAAAUAAGGGAACGUGUGCUUCACAGUUGCAAAACCCCGAAAAAGGCCUUUUAACACCAGACGCUAGGGUUUAUGGUUUUCGAAGGUUCAUCAGUCAGAAACACUAGGGGUUCAAACAGCCCAAAAGGCCCAAGUGCCUAACACUAAUGGUUAUUGUUUUGUUUUUGGUAACUGUCCGGGUGCUGUUUGUACUUUGACUACUUUCUACAUACCCACAUUAAGUUCUUCCCAUGUCUAACAACCAUAUAACUCGAGGAGAGGCUUUCUUUGUGUGAUGACUGAUGAGUGAUUGAGUAAUCUGGGAACCAACCUUCUCUGGGAAAUUUGGGAAUAGAAAAAUUACUUUGGGUUACUUUCAUUAAAUGUUUACCUUUUGUUUGUUUUUACUACGUUUGACUCUUUUUAUUUUUUUACAUUUCUCUUAACUUUUUUUUUUUUAAAUUUAUUAAUAACUCACACACCCUACCUAUGUUUAGUGAGAUUUAAACUCAUGACCUCAAAAUUGUUAGUUAAACAUCUUAACUAACCAAGUCAUGGCUCACCGACACAACUCUCUUAACUAACAAUGUUAGUAUCAAUGUUAGUGCAUUUUAAAGACUUAGAUCAAAUGAACAGCUUAGAUUAUAUUAUAACUAGGGGUUCAUUUGUACUUGAGUGCGACUGUUAAGACUUCUGAAUUUGUUCACUAGACCUCAUUCUAUUGUGAAUUAUUAAAUGACAUAUACAUCCUCAUACACAAUGACUAUUAAAGACAAUAAUUAUACAAAAGAAAAUAUUAUAUUUAUUCUCUUUAGACUUUACAAUUCAAUAAUAAUUGAUUUCAUUCUUUAUUAUUUUCCUUAUAUAUUUUUGUUUUCCAAUUUCUUUUUAUUAAAGCAUAUAUAUAGUUUAUAAGAACUAAAAAAAUAAUCAAUAUUGAUCAUGUAACAUAAAAUUUUGUAUUAUCAUACAUGUUCAACGCAUAUACUUGCAAGGUGCAUAAAUAUUUUUGUAAAAAGAAUAAAUUAAUAUCUAUCGAUUAUAGAAAAUAUAUAUUUAUUGAAAUAAUUUAUUAUGAGGUACAAAAUAGAGAUCAAAUUAGAAAAUUUUUAUUAACACAUCACUAGUUACUAGAUACACAUUUCAUUCUUAACACACCACCUAUUGACUUUAUUUUUUUAACAUUUUACUAGAUACAUAUACCUAACCUUCCUACAAUACCCUUAUUUAAAAUACAUCACUUAUUCACUAAAUACACAAUCCAUUCACUAAAUACACAGAUUUUUCUAGAUCUGCUACUCAAUUUAUUUAAAAAAAGAAAAAGAAAAAAAAGAGGAGUAUAUUAUAUAAAGCAUCAUCCCAAGUUCUAGUUUGGUGUUCAGCUUGAACGACCUAGCAUGUGUGAACAGUAAAAUCUAAAUUUCAAACUUCAAUUUAUACUAUCGAUACUAAAACUUUGAUCAUUUAAUAUUUGCUAAAUUAAUAACCUCGAUUAAAUAAUAUUUUUUGCCAGCCUCGAAAUAAAGAAUUAGCAAAAUUGACGUCAAUAAAUUAACAAUCUCAAUUAAAUAAUAUUUUUUCCCGGUUCCGACGUUAUUAAUUUAUAGAGGUUUAAAAUAUAGUGUUUGGUAUAUUCACAUACGUUGUUCUCAUAUAGAACAAGAAAACUUUUAAGUGGGAUAUUUAUUUCAAUAAGUCUUCUUUAAUUACUUUUGAUAUGAAUAUCUCUUUUGGUAAUUUUAUGUACCUACAAAGUUUUAUAUAAUUUGUAUAAAAAAAGAGGAGUGCGGCUAUUGGGACCUCCAAAUUUGCUCAAUAUACCUCUUAUGCUCUUUACACCUUCUUUUUAAUUUUAACUAUAAGCAUUUACUCACUAGACCUCCUUUUAAAUUCCUAACAUAACCUUAGUAUGUUAUUCACAUAUAUCUUGAUAAUUUACUCAUUAUACAUCUUAUUUAUUCUCUAGACCUCUCAUUAUUUUAAUUUUUUUCUUUUUGCAUGCUAUCAUCGAGACCUCUAUUCCUUGAUUUUUUUUUCGUUCAAACCUCUUUCACGACCUCAAUUCCUUGAUAUUUUUUAUUUCCCAUAGAAUGUCACCAAACCUCCAUUAUUUGAUCAAUUUGUAAGAAAAAAAUUUCAAUGACGUCAAUUUUUCUCUUAAAAAUCAAAUAAUACAAAGUAUUGGGUUUCAAAAACUUAUAUUUAUCAGCCCAGUACCGUCUCUCCUUAAAAAUGAGAGGUCGUGAGUUCGACUCAUAACAGACUCGUUAUAGCAUAUUGGUUGUUUAUCUGAUAAAAAAAAACUUAUAUUUACCAACAAGAAAAUAUUCCAACAUAAAUUAGCUUUUCUUUUUUUAUUUUACUUGUGCUAAACAACAAUCAAGGAUAACAAUUGUAUACUAUGUAUGUUCUUUUUUUCCCUCUAUUUUAUGUACAUUAAAUUAUUUCAAUAGUUAUUUAAUCUUUCAUCAUCGAUUUGUUUUAUAUACCUUCACCAUGUAUAUAUAUGCUUUCAACAUGUAUGAUAAUAGAAAAUUUUAUGUCACACGGUCGAUAUUGAUCAUAGUUCUAGCUCUAAUUAAAUAUAUAAUAUGUAGUAAAAUUUAGAAAAUAGUAAAUUAGAAACUAAAAAUAUAUAAAGAAAAUAAUAAAGAAUACAAUCAAUUAAUUAUCGAAUUGGAAAGUCUAGAGAGAAUAAAUAUACUUAUUUUUAUAUGAUUAUUGUCCUUAAUAGUCAUUACGUAAUAAGAGAUAAUUGUCAUUCAAUAACUCAUAACAAAGGGAGGUCAAGUGAGCAAAUUUGGAGGUCCCAAUAGCCGCACUCAAAAAAGAGAUGUGUAUAUAGCAUUUAGAUAUGUGUUAAUAAAAUUUCUCAUCAAAUUAUUCAAAAGAAAAAAAAUGUAGAAAAAAAUAACACAUACAAAAGAGAAAAACAAUUAAAAAGAUAUAUAGAAUAAUUCAUAAUAGAACAUUUUCUUGCAUGAAAAAAAAUAAUCAAAAAAUGAAGGUAGGGAUAAUGGAUGUUGAAAAACAAGGGAAAAAAAAACAAAACAAAGAAUGAGAGGUCUAUUGAGUGAAUAAGAGGUAAUUAAUUGAUUGAAAUAUAUGUUAAUAAAUAACUAUGAUUAUGUUAGGAAUUUGAAAUAAGGUAUAGUGAGCAAAUGUUUAUAUUGAAAAAUAAAAAGGAGGUGUAGAGAGAAUAAGAGGUAUAGUGAUCCAAUUUGGAGGUUCUAAUAGCCACACUAUUUGUACUUUGGGGCAUACAAGAACUUUCGACCCACAUUUACAUGUCCAUUUAGACACAAUUACAUGUCCGGGUGGUAUAUAAUGUCCAGAUUGCUUAACGAGUAAACAGCCCGACAUCAACAUAUUGGCCGACUGGUUGGAUAAUGGGUUAGGCAUGAGACAGGAUGAGACACAAUGAGACGGGAUUUGGCUAAUCCUGCAGCUCGUUCCUGACACACGUGGGACGGGAUCGAGACGAGAUCAGAACGGACCUUACAUUUUUCAAAUUUGAUUCUGCCCAAUCCUGGUCUUAGACGAGAUCAGGACGGGACAAGCCCAAUCCCAAAACUGAAAAAAAAAAAUCCUAAUUACCAUGUUAAGUUUGAUGUAAGAAUCCAAUAUCCCAAAAUCCUAGUAACCUAAUUCUACAUCAGGAACACAACUACAUAUGUACAUAACAUCCAUGAUGUCUAUGAUAGGAAUCCAAUAUCCAAUACAUCAUUAUAGUUUAGUCACAAUAUACUUGAUUUGAGACAAAUAAGGUCAAAGUUAAACUUUUAACAAUAUCAGUGAUAUGAUUCAAAGUUUAAACUUUUGAGCACUCAAAAUUUUAGUCCAAGAUAUCCAAAAAGUGACUUCGUCUUGGAGCAUAUUCAACAACUUUCUCAUAAAUAAAACCUCAAGGAUAAUAUCCCUAGCAUUGCUAAAAGUGAGAGAAAAAAAUGCUCUCUCUAUGCCCUCUCCUUCGAGAGAUUUCUCGACGGCAACCAGUUCUGACUGGUACUGGCUUUGUAUCUUCGAUUGUGAGAAGGAUCUCUUCCUCUUUCUCUCGUCAAAUCUGUGGGGGUGCUCGUUGGUCCUCCCUCUAUUCAAGUUUCAAUGAUUUCUCUUCUCCUUCUGUUGGGAAGACUGAUGGUGGCGCCGAUUCUUUCUUCGUGAAUUGGAUCUGGGGUUGCUUUGGACAGGAGAUGAUGUCAAUGUAUGUGGCAUCUGAGGGUGUUGGAGUGCUUGAUGAUGGUUGGAAGUAUGUCUUUCUUUUUGCUUUCAAGGUGAGAGUCGCUGAGAUCGAUGCAACGGUGGGCAAGCCUUGUGUGGUGGAUCAAGAUGGGAACUACUCGACGAUGUUGUGGGACAACGACGCAUGUAUUGUUGCCAACGGUGAAUGGAAACCUGGAGAUCCCUUUCUCCCUCCUCACAUCGUCACCAUUGAUGUUGGCGAGGUGUUAGGAGGGCGACUUUAUCUCUCUGGUUUGGCCGAUGAGGGUGGGUCUCACAAUGGAUCGGCAAUGGCGGCGGCUCAUGGGAGUGGUGUCGACGGCGCUGCAGGCUGCAUGAUGACUGCUAGGGUUUCCUUCAAGGCCAUAUUGGCUGGGUUUUGUUUGGCUUGAGUAUUUAUUUUGUUUUUUUAAGUUAUUUCUUUUUUAGGUUCAUAUUUCACGAAAAGAUAUUGCGCAUACAUUUGAUUAUGUUACCUGGAGCGAGAGAGAUCGUAAAGAAAAUAGAGACUUGGUGGUCCUUUAAUUAGGGUUUAUAUUUUAUUAGCCGGGCUCUAUAAUUUCUUUGUUUUAGGCUUCAUACAAAAAGAUGGGUGUACUAGGAGAUUACUAGUAUAGUUUGCUCUUUUUUGGGUAGAUUUGUAGUAAUUUCUACGGAACGGUUCAAUCUGUCGCCCUUACUGAGAGGAAUUGUUUUUGUACUAUUUGCUGAGCUAAUAUAGGAUGACCUCUUUUGAUUAAAAAUAAAAAACAACUUUCUCAUUAUUUUUCUAAAAUGGGAAAACAUAUGUUUUAUUUUUCUCAACUUAUGUUGCGAAGCAUAAAUUCUCGAACGUCAUUCAAUAUUCUUCUCUAAUCCUUUUUUUUUCUCUGAAAAGAUCUAAUCCUUUUUUUGUGGAUGUGAUUUUUCUAGCACGGUGUUCCUCCUUGUAGCUGUAGUUAUCUUCAAUAACUUCAUUGUGGCACAAAGAUGACCAAAUCUCGAAAUAGCUCUCUAGCAAGUGCAAUACUGCAAUUGAGGUAACCCAAUAAGGACUUUUUUACAAUAUAUAUGUAUAUAUCAUACAUCAAACCAUGAAUUAUCCGAUCGUUUUAAAUUUUAAAUUACUAAUCGGACGAUUCACGAUAUGUUAUACAAAUAUGUAUAGAAACCGAACUCAUGUAAUAAACUUCCCUUUCUCUUUUGGAAGGCUUUUUCAUUUGGAAAACAUCACUGUCACACAAAAUCGAAUGAAGAUAUAUAUAAUAUAAUUAUAUUCCACAAGCCAUGAGGCUCACCACCAAACCUGAACACAAAGGUCCUGUCUCCAUCGACCGAUUACAAAAAUACUGGUAAACAACAAAGAGCAUUGUUUGAUUCAACUGUUGAACUAGAACCCAUCAGUUUGAACAUUACAGACCAACAAAGAUCGAACAGAGCUAGCCAGCUAAGAAUGAAGUAUUCUAUCAGUAUCAGAACCACAGCUAGCUCCCAAUCCAAGACUAGUGGAGAUCACAAGCCCGAUUGGCCUGAAAGAAAACCUGGGCCUGACGGGCCGCCGCCCUCUCCGACACCAAGCCCUGAAUGACCCUCGUCUUCACCUCCCACGCCGUGUACGGGAACCCUUUCCUGGCGUACGAGUUGAUCAGCGCCGCGCUCGCCUCCUUGAGCAGCCUAGGGAACACGUUCUCAUCGUCGUUCCUGGCCGUCGCUUCCAUCAGCGUCAGAUCGGAUCUGUAACGUUCGUAGGCUCUGGACCCGAACACCUUGGACACCGUCGAGGUCUGCGGGACCAUCCUCGGCCAUGACUCCACUCUGCUGCCCCAGUAGUCCGGCGUGCACCGCCCAGUGGUUCGAGUGAAGAGAAAGCCUGGCCUGGCUGUUGCGGUUGUAGCUAGAAGAAGAAGAAGAAGAGUGAGGUGAGUCAGUUGAGAAGGACGAGCCAUGGUGGUGAUGUGAAACUGAGAUUUGGUUAACUGGGGACCGGUUGGGAUCUGAGAAUGUUUUCAAACUUGGGUGUUUAACUGGACUCUCACGGUCUCACCCACCAUGUCUUCUCGUGUUUUCAUGCACGUGGGGGCUCUGGUUCGGUUCUCGAUACAAGUCGUUUGGACUAGAUUGCCCCUGGUUUUUUACCCGUUCGACGCAAAAGCGGAGGGUUAUGUGGUCUUUUCGAGAAAAGAGGCUCCUAAAGAGAGUUUAGGAACUUGGAGAUGGUGGUUGGUUCUUGGUUUCAUGGAGAUGGAGUUUUGAAUGGAGAGAAAGACACGACAAGUGAGGAAGGUUCGUACUUACGUGGCUUCUUCAAAGGGGAAAGUCCGAUGGACUGUGUUCUAUCUUGGGGCUUGGGUAAUUUUGAUUCCUAAUUAGAUAUUUAGAUUUACUUUUGGUUGUUGUGGGUAAAUUUUGUUGGUGAUCACCUAACAAAUUAACAUGUAUACUUGUGUAGACAGUAUAGGUAAAGAUCAGCUUUUUUCACUCCCCUUUUCUUUUUGAAUAGAAAGAUCAGAUUUUUAACACUGAGGUAGUGUAAUUUCAUAGAGUUUAAACUGCAACAUGACAGUAACUUAUACAAUUUCAUAGUUGAGUUGAUUUGAUGAAUGAUAAAGCGAAAUAAAUGUGUUCCUAAUAUUCAACCCCCAUAGUAAGUUGUGCAGUGGCAUUGAGGCGAUCAAGUUGCUUAACUGGACCCAACUACUUCAGUCACAUUUGCAGAAUUGCAGUUUGCUAUUGAUAUAAAAUGCUCAUAUUAUCUCUUAUCUUUGAGAAGCCUCAAACAAAAAGCGUCUGUAGCUCAGUGGAUAGAGCGUCUGUUUCCUAAGCAGAAAGUCGUAGGUUCGACCCCUACCUGACGCGAUUGAAUGUUUUCAUUUUUCUCAAUUUUUUUGUUCACAAUUUUCUUUUCAUUUUGGAGAUCAAACCUCAUUUUGAAGAUCAAACCUACUUGCAAGGGAAGCUGCACUACAAAAUCUUCCAGCUGCACUACAAAUCUUCCUGUCCAUGAAUUGCUUAACAUUCUACUUUCCUUUAUUAAUCGAAAUAGUGACGCUUUCUUACAAAACCAAGAAGCAGAGAAAGAAAAGAUAAACGCUUAGCCCUAAGAGGAACUUGAUGAACUCAAUACAAGGGUCUCCUGCCUGUUGUACUUGAGCAUCCUGGCCUCUUCUUGAGAAAUUUGGUACGCAUUUACUAGCACAUCAUCCGGCAGUGCUCUCAAGACUGAGGUCCAGCCAGCCAUUGUGUUGAUGAUCGCGUUGUCCUGCGUCUUGAAUGCUAUGUAUUGGAAUCCCUGAUUGUCAAUAGCCUUCUGCAAGACUGCGUGGUUUUGCGGCACUAUAAACAACUGACCCUGGCGGACCUCAUCGUCGAAUAUGGUCUCACCAUUGUCAUUCACCACUUGUACCCUAGCACUUCCUCUGAUCACGUAGAAUAUUUCGUGUGCCAAGAGGUUCCAAUGUGGGCUAUAGAUGGCAUUCUGCAACACAUUUACAUCACACAUAUCAUCAUCACAAUUACACUAACAGAAGAUGAUCGACUAGCUACAUGAACAAAAUGUAAUGUAUACAAGGACUCACAUUGUACAAGAAACCCGUCUCGGCGCUGAGGGACAUUUGCUUAAGGAUGGGCAUAUCAUUGCUGUUGAGGAUAUUGAUGCGACCAGCUUGUGGCGUGUAAAUGUCUGCACGUCUAGGGUCACCAAGGUACUGUUUUAGAGCAAUGUUGCACAAUGACUCCCCAAGACCAUUGUCAUGUCUUCCCUGCAGUCCUUGCUGCUCAUCUUUUUGUUCCUGUUGGGUUCGCUGCCAAUGUGAUGACUUAAUUGGAGGGUGGAGAAAACCAAAUUUUCCCUCCACUCUCACGAUUUGGCUUCGUUGUUGAUCAAUCUGGCCAUGAACUUUCAUGGCAGUUUCAAUGUCCACAUUGAGAGCGUCUGCAAGUAGGCUAGUGUCAAAGCCUGCGAAGAUGUUAUUGUUGUAAUUUGAUCCCUGACCCGAGUGGCGUCUCUGCUCAUAACUUAUGCCUUCCCCUUCUUGUUGGUUAAACUCAUCCUCCUGACUUAUGUCUUCCCCUUGUCGGUUAAACUCAUCUUCCGGGUUACCAGCAAGAUAGAAUCUCUAUAUACAUAAAACACCAAAAUAGGCAACAGUAAUUGGCAUGCAAUAACUAUACAUAUGACGUUAGAAGUAGUAUGAAAAUACAUAUAAGAGUGCAUGGAUGCUUCCCAUCUAAUGAAAUGAGCAUCAUAUAUAGUUUACUUUUCAAGAAUUAUCCAAACAAAAACUCAAUCUUCGAAACACUUGGUUACGUUUCAUUAGAUAUUGAUUUAGUGCUCAUUCUUUUCAGUUUUCACCAUCAUCCAUGAGUUAUUGAACUAUAUAUUUGUUGUUCUUCUCUUAAUUUUUUUAGGCACAUUGAACUAUAUUUCAAGUUAUAUGGUCUAUAUUCUAGACAUGCAUGCAUGUAAUUGUAGUUCUUCAUUAACCCUAAAGUUAUUUGUGACUUUAACUCUGGCUAGCUAGAUCCAUUACCCUCGGGUUUCGAUCAAGCUGGUUAAGGUCGUUGCAGAUGUCUAGAAGACUAACGGCGACGAGGGAUGAGUUGCCAUUGUUGUGCACCCAGUGGACAAUCCCAGGAGGAAUAGCAAUGAUGUCACCUUCUCCAAUGAACCGAACCUUCUGGUGGCGUUCUAAAUCGUCGAAGCCUUGUCUUUCUUCUUGUACUUGUUCAGAGCCUUGAGACAAUUCGAACGUCUCCGGACAGCCAGGCAAUGCAGUCAUCAUCACACCCCAACCUGCACAUAACAUUUUCAUGUCCAUUGCAUCAGUUUAGUAACUAUUCAUUAUCUGAUUCCUACUUAAUUCUCUUUUUUGACAUAUACACACACGCAUAUACCUUUGACGAUGUACAUGAGUUGAGGGGAAUGUGUGUAAGAAGGCAAGUGAAGGCCAUUGGGUUCAAUGGUGAUUCGCUGAGCCGCGACGCCGGCGCACUGAAAGUCAUUCUGGUAGUGAUCCCAUGACUCAAUCCGACCAGCUUCACACUCGAUCUGAAUAUCGGGUUCGCGGGCUUGGAGUUGAUCGAUUUGGCACUGAUUUUGCUUGAUGGGUUCAAACUGCGGAUCAGCUGCUAAGCACCCGUAUUGGGAGAGGACAUGAAGGAGUACCAAGCAAAGAGGAAUAGCAAGCUGUAAGGGCUUAGCCAUUGAUAUAUGCAAGAGCAAUUAAGGAGGAGGAGAAGCAGAGUAGAGCUUAUAUAUGGAGGAGGAGAUGAGGCAGAGACGACACGUCUUGGCCAUACUUAUCUUUGCAUGGACAUUAAUACUUCAUGUUGUUACACCUCAUCCUGUCUUUUAGAGCAGGUGGCUCUUGGUAUAGUUCUAGAGAAAGAUACAAAUUCAACACAUAUGCAUGCAAUAUAUGGUUUUGCUUUCAGUAAUUUCUGACGAUUAUAAGAAGCUGGAAACUGAGAACGAAUUUUAAUGGCUAGAAUUAGUUCCAAUAUGUGUAUAUAUGGAAGAAAUGAAAGAAGUGCACGUUCUAAACUUCAAAUUUAAAUAGCUAAGCGGUAGUGUCAUUGAUUAAUUGAUACAUUUAUGGACUGAAAUCUCAUUGCUUUCAGUCGAAUCUAGGUUCUUAGUUUGCUGUUUAUGACUCAUUAUUAUUGAUGAAGUUGUAUUGCGACAUAAUAUUCGUUUUACAUUAAGAGAAAUUUUAAAUACACACCCCUAAUCUCUUAAUACACACCUCUAUUAUUUUAUGUUUCUAUUAAGAUUUUAUAAGUAAAUUAAAUGACUAAAACAAACAUCUCUUAUUAAAAAAAAAAAAAAGCGCUAGAAGUAUUCUUUUCAAUAUCUUUUACCCUAAAAUCGUUGAAAGUACGUCUUCUCCCAUAACCCCAACUCUUCUCCACAAUNNNNNNNNNNNNNNNNNNNNNNNNNNNNNNNUUCUUUUUUUUUUUUUUUUUUAUCUGUAUCAGCUUUAGUUUGAUCUUGCAUAUCAUAUUCUCAAGUACUGCAUCUUUAUCAUGACAUGUUUUAUCGAAUAACUAGAUAUCUAUGUUUAAUAGCUACUUCUACACUUCUACUAUCUUGUGAAUUUUGAAAAGUUGUAUCGAUGAUUUGGAGUUGAGAUAUAACAAUAAUCAUUUGAUUAUAAAUUGAACAAUGAUAAUAAAAAAUUUCUAACAAAAAUUAGACGAAAUAAUAUGUAAAAAGAGGUAUCAAAUAGUAAAUAUUGAUUAAUUAUAUUAAAUAAUGAAAUAUUUCAUAAAUUAAGGGUAUUUUAGGCAGUUUGAGAUGUGUAUUAAGUAUAAUACUGAAAUGAAAAACUUGAUAUGUGGUGUAUUAAGUAAGGGGUGUGUAUUAAGAUAUUAGGGGUGUGUAUUUAAAAUUUCUCUUACAUUAAUAGAUCGGCACCCAUGAUUUUCAGAAAAAAAAAAAUGCUUUUGAAUAUAGAGUAUGUUCAUGAAAUAUAUAGCACUGCUAGGCAUAAAUAGUUGAUAAAAUACCUUUGCUAAACGAAUCUAGAGUAUUUCCAGUAUCAUUUGGUCUAACGGCGUAAUCUCCUUUUAGUAAGUGGGAGGUUGUGAGUUUGACUCACGAAGUUAUAAUAUUCAAGUUGUUUAGCUGAUAAAAAAAACGAAUCUAUACCUAAAUUUGAUUAGCAAAUCACUUAUACAUCCUUCAAAAAGAUUUAAAACACAAAUAAAUCCACUUGUUUUGUUGUUAAACAAAUAAGGACAAUUUUUAACAAUUAAGGACAAUUUUUUCUCUAUAUGCCAUGUGUCAUGAUUUAAUUUACCAAACUAACCCUACACUAAUUAAAUAUACUUUUAGAAGAGAAAAGUUUUUCCUUUUGAGAUUUUUCAGUAAAUAGAAUACAGUAGUAAUUUUCAAUAAUUUAGUGUGGUAGCAGUUAAUUUUAGUAGAAGUAGCAAUACGUAGUAGCAGCAACAUGAAUCAACAACUUACAAUAACAACACACAACAACAACACACACAGUAGUAGCACACAUCAACAACACACACAGUAGCAACACACAUCCACAACAACAUGCAGUGGCAGUACACGCAAUAGCAGCACACAACCACAACACACGCAGUAGCAGCACACAACAGCACACAAUAGCAACACACAACAGCACACGCAGUAGCAGCACACAACAACACACGCAGUAGCAGCACACAACAACAGGCAGUAGCAGCACACAACAACACGUAGUAGCAGCACACAACAACAGGCAGUAGCAGCACACAACAGCACGUAGUAGCAGCACACAACAACAACACACACAGUAGNNNNNNNNNNNNNNNNNNNNNNNNNNNNNNNNNNNNNNNNNNNNNNNNNNNNNNNNNNNNNNNNNNNNNNNNNNNNNNNNNNNNNNNNNNGAGGAGAAGAGGAAGAAGAAGAAGAAGAAGAAGAAGAAGAAUAAAAAUAAUCGGUGUGUUUCUCAUAUUUAAAAAUGGUGGAGAAGUGAUAUUUUAAGUUAGUGGCAGUUUUGUAGAUAUUUUAAAAAAUAAUGAUUUUUUAGGUAUUUUGCAUAAAAAAUUGCUGACAGGACGUGGUACUAUACACUGUAGGCCUAUAUAUAUGUCCUUAUUUGUUUAAAUAUGUUGAAAUAUGGUUUUUCUGUGUUUUGCAACUGUUUAUGAUAGCUAUACAGUAGGCCUAUAUAUAUGUCCUUAUUUGUUUAAAUAUGUUGAAAUAUGGUUUUUCUGUGUUUUGCAACUGUUUAUGAUAGUGGGAUGUUAUUUUCUAAAAUUUGAUCAGACUAUAUUAAAUUCUUGCUAUUGAAACAUAGGACCUCCCAUAUUUACUUUUUGCAGUUAUGCUCUUUGAAUUGCUAAUGGUAUGGAUUUGAUACGAUGUGGUUAUUGGUCAUGCAAGUUGGAUCAAAACCAUGUUAAAAAGAGAGCUCACUGAGAACAAAAGAUUACAAGAUGGAUCAAAACCAUGUUAUUUUCUAUUUACAACGGUAGAUUUCUCCUCUUACAACACAGCCAUACAAGGCCGUUUUUAUUCUUUGUACCAUGCAAAACUCCGUGCCGCAUUACGUUUUUACAUCUCAUCAUGCAUUCAUUUAAGCAAUAGCCCUCUGGGACUCGGAAGACCUUGAAGAGCUCAAAGCAACAGUUUCCUGUCUGUUGUAUUUGAGAUUCCUUGCCUGUUGUCGGUCAAUCUGGUACGCAUUAGCAAGGACACCGUCCGGGAGUGCACGCAAGACUGAGGUCCGGCCAGCCAGAGUGUUAAUCUUGGCAUUGUCCUGGGUCUUGAAGGCAAUGUACUCGUAGCCAUUGUUGCUAGCCUUCUGUAACACUGCGUGGUUCUGUGGCACAAUGAAGAGCUGGCCCUGGCGGACCUCGUUGUCCAAGAUGGCCUGGCCGUUGUUGUUCACAAUCUGAACCCUAGCGCUACCUCUAAUGACAUAGUACACUUCAUGAGCGUUCAAGUUCCAGUGGGGGCUGUAGAUAGCAUUCUGCAUGUAGAAGACAAUUAAUAAGAUACUUACAUGAGCUCAAACAACUAAUCAGUUACUUGAAAUUGACAAAUAUUGAGUAUACUUACGUUGUAGAGGAAGCCUCUCUCAGCGCUGAGGUCAAGGUGCCUGAGAAUAGGCAACUUAAAACUGUUGAGCGUGCUGACGCGACCGGCUUGGGGACUGAAGACAUCGGCGCGUGACGGCCUGCCAAUAUUCUCUUUGAUCCUGAAGUUGCAGAAUGUCUCCUCAAAACCAUUCUGUCCUUGUUGCCCCUGUUGUCUCUGAAUUCCCUGUUCUCGUCUUUCCUCCUGUUGUGACUCUGGUGGCUGGAUGAAAUCGAGACGUCCUCUAACUCUCACGAUUUGGGGUCUGUUGUCUUUCUGUCCCUGAAGCUGCUGGGCAGUCUGUUGGUCAAUGUUCAAAGCAUCAGCGAGGAGCUGUGUGUUGAAGCCUGCAAAGAUGUUGUUGUUUCCUUGUCGUUGUUGUUGCUGGUGCCUGCUCCUUCCUCCUUGCUGUUGCUGGUGCCUGCUCUUUUCUCCUUGCUGUUGCUGGUCCUGGUCCCAUUGACUUUGGCCUUCCGCUUGUUGUCCACGUCCUUGCCGUCCUCGUUGCCUUUGGCUUUGCCCGUGUUGGUUAAACUCAUCUUGUGGAUUACCCGCUAGAUAGAAUCUCUAUACACAUAACAAUAGUACAAUACAUGUAUGUGAUCUGCAGUCAGCAAUGAUAACAAGUAAUCUACCAAUAAAUAUGCAAAUAUAUUUGGGGGUGUAAAUGGACAGUGUGCUCAUUAGUAGAUAUUUAAUUUACCCUAGGGUUACGAUCAAGCUGGUUUUGGUUGUUGCCGAUGUCAAGAAGACUGACAGCAACAAGAGGUUGAUCACCGUCAUUGUAGGACCAGUAGGUGACUCCGGCAGGAAUAGCAACAACGUCACCUUCUCUGAUGCGUCGAACCUUCUGGUGUCUGUCUAGCUGUUCGAAGCUUUCUUGUCCCUGUUGGCCUUGCUGGCCUUGUUGUCUAUGACGGCCAUGCUGUCCACGGUCUUGCUGCUCUUGUUGUUCACGGCCUUGCUGUCCAUGACGCCCUUGCCAUUGUUGUUGACCCUGUUGUUCUUCAUCAGAUUGUUCUGAUUCUUCAAAAGACUCAGGACAGCCAGGGAAUACAGUAGAUAGAAAACCAUUUCCUGCCGUAAUUAUAUGAAUAUAUUACACACCAUAUACAGAUACAUAUUAAUACAUAUCCAACAUUUAUAAUAUUAGAUAGAAAUGGUUCCGGUUACACAGUACCUUGGACAAUAUAUAUGAGCUGUGGUGCGUGGGUGUAAGAAGGCAAGUGAAGGCCAUUUCUUUCAACAGUGAUUCGUUGAACAGCAACACCAGCACACCGGAAGUCGUCCUGGUUGUAGUUCCAGGACUCGAUCCUACCCGCUUCAGUCUCAAUGCGGUUAUCAGGUUCGCGGGCUUGGAUCUGAUCAAGUUGGCACUCAUUCUGCUGGCUCGACUGAGAUUGUUGGCGCGCUGCUAAGCAGCUGUGGAAGAGGACAAGCAAGCAAAGAGAAAAGGCGAGAGCUAUAGGCUUAGCCAUAGUGUUGAUCAGAUAAGUAUAUAGCUUGUCGUGGUGAAGCGGCGAGUAGAAGGUGUGGUAUUUAUACUUUUAUAGGAUAGAGAAGCUGAAGAGGGAAGGAUAAGUACAACAACGUACAUCUGUAAAUAGUCUGAAGCCAUUCUUAUCUUUGCAUGGCAAAAGCAUUUCACAUUCUUACACCUCAUUUCUCCCAGGGCAGGUGGCUCAUGGCUUCAGAGAAGAUACAAAGUGCCUAACAAGGUGGGGUUUUGCCAUGAUUGUCUGCAAGUGAAGCGAAAUUCUACUGCCUUGAACCUGGUCCAAUAAAGAGCAAAAUUUAUGAGAGGACUAAGAUAUGUUCUUACCAGUUUUAGUAAAAUAGUAUUACAUCAGCACCAACCUGAUGAACAUCUUCUAUAAUGUAGGCAAGGUUCAAAAAUGGCUGUUCUUAUCUUCCUAGUAGCCAUCCAUACUCUGUCAUUUUAUGAGUCAAAGUUUAAUAUUUAAAACUUAUGUAGACAUUCCAACAAUAAAACUUAAAAGUUCUUAACUCUAGUUGGUAAUACUUUGACACGUCAAACUUCUUUGAUUUCUUCCAGAAGCAUAAGCAUCUGGUUCUCACGUUGCUAAUCACUUCACCUAUCUAGUUUUCCUACCAAAAAGAAUCUGAUAUAGAUAGAAAAGUUAGCCAUAAAUGUAGGACUUACUGUGAACAAUGUCCCAAUUCCAACCUCAAAGAUUAGAAUCUAAAAGCUCGUAACUCAAAAUUAUACAACAUCAUUAUAUUCACAAUAAAAAGUACUCUGACAUAAGGUUUAGUUCAGUUUAGUGCUUCUUGAAAAAAAAGAUGAAGACUUCAACUGUUCUACAACAUAAUUGUCUAUAUCUAUACUCAAAAUGAUCAAUAAUCGUUUAUCCUACCAUAUUUCUUGUAUGGAAUAUCUUGUUACAUUUUGUUUUCAUAGCAAAAUGUUGCAAUAUUUGAGUGAUAGAUACACUGCCAACAUGGUGUACAAGUUCCACAGCCAAGAUUUUUGGGCUCACGACAACUCUUAAGGCUUAAGAACCAGUAAUGCAUGGUUGAACUAGGGAGCAGCCAUUGCUGAAGGCUCCUCCUCAAAACGAUCCAUUGCUUUAUUACCCCAUGGUUGGAAAACCUGCCAACAGUCAAAAUUUCCUCUUCCCCCGCAGUCGAUAUUUUCUCAUCUCAAUAAAUUUUAUUCAUCCAAAACAUAAAUCCUUUUGUUUAAGUACCCGCCAGUAUAUCUAAUAUCUGUGACAAGCCGAGUGCUGACAGCUGAUAUUUUAAAACUUGGGAUUCCCUAUAGCCCCUCUCAUUAUAACCCCUCUAAUGUUAAAGCUUCUGCUAAAGACACAUCUCUAGUUCCUCGAGCUAAUGCUACAUCCGCAAUGCAAUUGUUCCCAUGCAAUGAUUAGCCAGAGGAAAACUCGAGGAGCUCCCUUGACUCUGAUCAAUUUAGCCUCAAGUCUCGAACUUGUUCUUUGAAAGUCAGUGAAGAGGCUACUUCUUUAACUGGUGAUGGUGCUCAACCAAUGUUAAGCCAGACAGAGGAUAGUUAAGUGAAUCUGGUCGGGAAGACCUAAAAAGAGCAAAACUUCUUGCUUUCCCUUGCUACACAACGAGUACUACUAAAAGGUCGAUUCCAACAAAAGAGCUCAGGAUGUUGUUAUUAAUGGGGUUGGGACUUGAGUUCUCGGGUGGGAAUGUGAAGGUGCAGCAGUUGCUUUGCAACUCUACUUUACUGUCCUUGUCCAAGCUGAUAAGGGUGGGACGACAUUGAACGGCCUUAUUUACAGGUCCUCUAUAUAUUGGAAUACUUGACUGUCUCAGAAAGGACUUGCCAAGUGAUUCCCUAAUUCUAAUGCUCAGACCUCGGCCUAUUUGAAAUGUCUGAUAGAAACUAGUUUGAGGAAUAAUUAGCUUCUUUACCUGUGAGUACAUGUUUCUAUGGAAGGUUUCUGUAAUGCUAGCUUUCCUUCUGCUAUAAGGAAGGUGACCAAGCUUUUAAUCCUAACACCAAAGUUAAACCUUUUCCAAAGAAAGGGGGUCAAAACCUGUAGAAUAUUAUGUAACAGGUUGAACCUAACACAUAAAGUUCAGCAAUCAUCCAUGAUCCAUCUUCUAUCAUAUUUUUACUGAACCAAAGAUUAAGUAAUCAACACUGGCAGUUGUUUAUGUAAGUUAUUCUGAUAAAGAAAAAAGAUCCAUCACUACCCUUAAACUUAUUGUGCCACAAAACACAAAUGACUUCAAUUGUUCCUAUCGCAUAGAAACCAAACUUUUGUCAUUGUUUCUUGGAAUUAUUCUGUACACAUCACUUCUGUGCAAUCAUGCACAAAAUAGAAUCAAAAUACCAUGACAAUGACAAAGGGUUUAAUUCAAUUUGGCACUUCUUACCAACACUAUGCUCCUCCAAAUGGUCCUCAUAGUCAAAGGGACUUCCCCAUAUCCCUUGUUCCAAAAUUAGCUUCUUUACCCAGAAUCAAUCAUCCUACUACGCUCAAAAUAUCUAAUUUCUCAAUACUCUACUGAUUCAAUUGAGUUGAAGACAAAGUAGACAACAAUUAACAGAUCAAAUGUGAAAGUACAUAAUUCAAUAGACUCACGAUUGCUGAGUUGCAGGUCACUGGUUGUGGUGUGUCUGAUCAGCAGGAGCUACGUUUCAAGCACGCCCUCGUGAAGCAAUCUCGUCCCCGACGCGACCUCUGGUAGUCGGAAUAUGCGGCCGGAUAACAUGAUCCGGCGAUCCCGUCUUUCACAUUGUGUUUGGUUGGACAUUGGCGGUUCCAGCAGUUCAGUUACUAUUGGUCUUCACCCUCUCAGCGCUCAACCUCUUCUAGUCUCUCCUUUUAUUCUUGUACUUGUCAGUUGUCACAGUUGCUAUCUAUGUGAUUGUUCCACGUGGAUUUUAUUUUCCUGCAAAUUCCCAAAUUAAUUAUUAUUUUGUCCAAAAUUUCCAGAUGAAUUGUUUGUUGUCUUUGAUGUUUUUUUUUCUUUUGUAAAAAGAUCGUAUGACCCCUUAUAUGGAUAUUUUCAGGAGACUUCUUGCCGCCUUCACGCUGUUCACGUUCCACAUACAUAUAUACAUGCAGCUCAACAUGCUUUUUCACCAACUUCACUGAGUUCUUUGAUGAUUCUAAUCAUUCGAUGGAAUCACAAAAUAGUUAGUUUAUACAACAGAGUUCGUGAGCUGCUUAUUUUAUAGUUUAAUUUUGGCGUGACGUCAUUAGUUAAAGCUCGACGAAGCAUGCUGUUUUUCUUUUCUAUCAAGAGCGUGAUUAGCUGGUUUGGAAAUUUCAUUUCUAUUUUUCUCGUUCUUAUUGAGAGUCAAACUUUGAAGAAAUGAUAGUCAAACUUCGAAGAAAUGAUUGGAGUCAAACCUGAUGAUUACAGACAAGGGGUGAGCUGCUGAUAUGCAAUUACAGCCAAAGCAAAUUACUGACUUAAAUCUAAGGGGCAAAGCUUCACAAUUUAGAUAAAACACCAACUCACCAAGUAUAGUUGAGGCAAAAAGAAAAUUCAUUUAACGAGAAUAUGACUACAAGAACGUAGUAGCUCGUUAUUUACUAGUUUGUACAUAAGAUCUCAUAUCUUCCGAAGAUGCCAUAUAAAGGCCAUUUUUAUUCACUCUACCCUUUAGCUCGCUGGUACCAUAUUCACUAGCUUAUUCACCGCACAAAAAACACUACGUGCGCAUUACAUACAUAUUCAUACUCAGACAAACAUCUCAGCAAUAUCCAACCAGUUCCUGUGGGAUCGAGGAGACCUUGAUGAGCUCAAAGCAACAGUCUCCUGCCUGUUGUACUUGAGAGUCCUUGCCUGUUGUCGAUCAAUCUGGUAUGCGUUAGCGAGGACCACGUCAGGGAGUGCCCGCAAGACUGAGGUCCGGCCAGCAAGAGUGUUAAUCUUAGCAUUGUCUUGGGUCUUGAAAGCAAUGUAUUCGAAUCCAUUGUUGCUAGCCUUAUGCAACACUGCAUGGUUCUGUGGCACAAUGAAGAGCUGGCCCUGGCGGACCUCGUUGUCCAAGAUGGCCUGGCCGUUGUUGUUCACAACCUGAACCCUAGCACUACCUCUAAUGACGUAGUAGACUUCAUGGGCGUUCAAGUUCCAGUGAGGACUGUAGAUAGCAUUCUGCAAGUACCACAAACAAGAUUAGUAAUCAUAAUCAAUAACCUCAAUUGAUUCAAAAGGACCUAUAUCGUUGAUUAUAUAUACUUACGUUAUAGAAGAAGCCUCUCUCAGCGCUGAGGUCAAGGUGCCUGAGAAUAGGCAACUUAAAGCUGUUGAGGGUGCUGAUGCGACCGGCUUGGGGACUGAAGACGUCAGCGCGUGAAGGCCUGCCGAUAUUCUCUUUGAUCCUGAAGUUGCAGAAUGUCUCCUCAAAACCAUUCCGUCCUUGUCCCUGUUGUCUCUGAAUUCCCUGUUGUUGUCUUUCCUCCUGUUCUGACUCUGCUGGCUGAACAAAGUCGAGACGUCCUUUAACUCUCACGAUUUGGGGUCUGUUGUCGUUCUGUCCCUGAAGCUGCUGGGCAGUCUGUUGAUCAAUGUUCAGAGCGUCAGCGAGGAGCUGUGUGUUGAAGCCGGCGAAGAUGUUCUUGUUGUUUCCUUCUUGUUGCUGGUGCCUGCUCCUUCCUCCUUGCUGUUGCUGGUGCCUGCUCCUCUCUCGUUGCUGUUGCUGGUCCUGGUCCCAUUGACUUUGUCCUUGCUGGCCCCGACGACUCUGGCUUUGCCCGUGUUGGUUAAACUCAUCUUGUGGAUUACCAGCCAGAUAGAAUCUCUACAUACAUAACACAUCAUGCAUGUGAUCAGAAAAAACUAGCAAGCCAACAGUAAGAGUGCUAUUGUACCUCCACAAAAGAAAAUAUAUACAUAUCACAUUUGCUAAUUAAUUUACCCUGGGGUUACGGUCAAGCUGGUUUUGUUGGUUGCCGAUAUCAAGAAGAUUGACAGCAACAAGAGGUUGGUCACCGUCGUUGUAGGACCAGUAGGUGACUCCAGCAGGAAUAGCAAUCACAUCACCUUCUCUGAUGCGUUGAACCUUCUGGUGUCUGUCUAGCUGCUCGAAACUCUCUUGUCCCUGUUGGCUGUGCCGCCCUUGUUGUCUAUGACGACUUUGCUGUCCAGGGCCUUGUUGCCCUCGUUGACCACGGCCUUGUUGUUCAUACUCUUCCUGUUCUUGUUGCCCGCGGCCUUGCUGUCCAUGGCGCCCUUGCUGGCCUUGCCACUGUUGUUGACCUUGUUCUUCAUCAGAUUGCUCAGAUUCUUCAAAAGUUUCAGGACAGCCAGGGAAAACAGUUGAUAGAAAACCAUUGCCUACAGGGUAUAAAUGAAUGAUUUUAACCACAUACGUACUUGUAUUCAAAAAAUUUAUACUAAAUUUAACCAAUUGCAUUUAUACAAUACCUUGCACUAUGUAAGUGAGUUGUGGAGCAUGGGAGUAAGAAGGCAAGUGAAGGCCAUUUCUUUCUAUGGUAAUUCGUUGAACGGCAACACCAGCACAUUGGAAAUCGUCCUGGUUGUAGUCCCAGGAUUCGAUCCUACCCGCUUCAGUCUCAAUGCGGUUAUCAGGUUCACGGGCUUGGAGCUGAUCUAAUUGGCAUUCAUUUCGCUGGCUCGACUGAAAUUGUUGGUGAGCUGCUAAGCAGCUCUGGAAGAGGACAAGCAAACAGAGAGAAAAGGCGAGAGCUAUAGGCUUAGCCAUAGUGAUGAUCAGAGAGAUAGCUAGCUAGUUGUG